rnacentral:lncRNA from 1 species
GCUUUAAUUUCCCUCUCCCACCUUUCCGGCACCGCAGCCACUGCCCCCGUAGCCUCCACCAGUUUCAUAAAGAGCUCCUGCAAAUCCACCACUUUCCCCGAAGUAUGCAUCGCUUCCCUUUCCGGUUACGCAUCGGCAAUAAAGAACAGCCAAGAACAGAUAGUGAAAACUGCCUUGUCCGUAAGCCUAAACAAAGCCGAAACUACAAAGGAAUUUGUUAGCAAGCUGUUGAAAUUCAAGGGAUUAAAGCCUAGAGAGUAUGCAGCUAUAAAGGAUUGCGUAGAGGAGACAAGUGACAGUGUAGAUCGGCUUACCAAAUCUGUGAAUGAACUCAAAAGAAUGGACCGUAGCCAUGGGAAGGAUUUCCAGUGGCAUAUGAGCAAUGUGGAGACAUGGGUAAGCGCUGCAAUUACUGACGAGAAUACUUGUACUGAUGGAUUUGCUGGCAAGGCUUUGAAUGGGAGGAUUAAGGCUUCGAUUAGAAGUCAUAUAACUAGUCUAGCUCAAGUUACUAGCAAUGCGUUGGCUUUAAUUAAUCAAUAUGCUGCUAAAUAUUGAUUAAUUAGCCAUUAAUUAUGUUUUCGGGUGCUUCACAAUUAAUUAUGGUUUUUGCCUUUAUUGUUUUGGGGAGUGGUUUGUGUGGUACUUUGUAUAUUGUGAAUGAAAUUUCACGCGCUAAGUAUAAACGGGAGAAUAGAGGAUGGUUGAUUUGUCCUGGACGAUAUCUUUGCCGUUAUUUCUUGUCCUCCACGGGUUGUUUGUUGUACACAAGCUAUGCUUAUUAGUAAUGAAAAAAAAAUGGUAAUGCAUAAUUUAUAAUGCCCUAAUUACUUUUUGUUGAAUAUUUAUUUGUUUUAGUAAAAGCUACUAGUACUAGAUAGUAAGUACUCUUUCCAUCUAAUAAAUGUUGUUUAUGGAGUUCAAGGUAAAAUAAAUUCUAAUAGAGUACACAUUCAAUAAAAAUAUAUUAGUAUAUUAUAAGGCAAUAAGUAACGCUAUUUAUAAUCAAAACCUCUUUUAGAGUAUGUUUGGCAAAACUUUUAAAAAAAGUGAUUUUUUUUUAAAAAAAGUACUUAAUUUAAAAAGUUGAUGUAUUUAAUCAAGUUUUUAGAAAGAAGUUAAUGUUUUUGAGAGUAACAGAAAUAAUUUUUGAUAAGCUAAAAAAAAAAUCUUCUCCUCCAAAAUAUUUUUUAAAAAAGUAUUUUUGAGAAAAAUAUAUUUAAAAAUACUUUUACAUGUUUGAUCAAAUACUAAUUGUUAUUUUUUUUUUUUACAUUUUAUUGACUAAAUAUAAUAUCAAAAAAAAUAUUUUUUUUAAAUACUUUUUAAAAUAAAUUGAUUCUAGAAACUUGACAAACGGGCUAUUAAUCAAUGUUUCUUUAAGUGGCAGGUAAAAGACUAAUUAAUGUUUUCUUAAAUAGAGUGUAAACAAAAUCGCAUAACAUAUAAUGGGAUUGAAAAAAAAAGUAAUUCAAAAAGGUGUUCCUAUGAAAAGGAAAAUAGAAGUUACUUCCUCCGUCCCAUUUUAUUCAUCCCAAAUUUUUUAAUUUAAUUUUUUAUUUUACUUGUUAUUUUUCAUUAAUGAAGACAAGUCAUUUUUUUUUCUUUUUUACCCUUAGUAAUAAUUGUUUUUUCUUCAAAUUAAAAUGUAAUCAUUAUUUAAUAGGGGUACUAUGAUAAAAUAAUUAUGUUAUUAAUUAUUCUUCUUGAUCAAUGUGUAAUCUCAAAUUGGGACGAGUAAAAUGGGACGAAGAGAGUAUUUACUAUAACAAGUUAUUUUUGUCAUUUUGAUUGUGGUGAUCCACACAUUCUAAUUUGUACAUAAUAGUAGUAUUCCCUUCGUUUUAAAAUAAUUGACAUUUAUAAAUUUUACACAACUUUUAAGCAAAUAUUAAUUAAAAGUAUAAUAUAAAUAAUAUAUUUCUUAUUAAUUCCUUAAUCUUCAUCUAUUUAUGAGCCUCUUAAUUCUAGAAUAAUUAUUAUUAAGAAUAUAGUCGGAAAAAUUGAUUAAUUAUCUGUUAAUCUUUAAACAUAUCAAUUAUUUUUAGCAAGAUAUAUUAGUGCAUCGAUUGCAUUAAGGUAUGAUACUUCAUGACCAAGAAUUUCCUUGUUGUUUUCUUGAGGUCGGAAUGGAUCCUUAGUCACAUCAAGUGAUUGAACAAUCGUUGGAGCACUUAAUGGAUGUGCUCCAUCCAUAUAAAAUAUUUUCAAAAUCUUUUUUAUAUAGGUAGAUUGAUGGACAAAGAUACCGUUUGUCAAAUGCCCAAUUUGCAAACCAAGACAUAAUCUUGUUCUUCCAAGAUCUUUCAUCUCAAAUUCCUUCUUUAAAUAAUCAAUUGCCUUUUGAAGCUCUAUUGGAGUUCCAAUAAGAUUUAUAUCAUCAACAUAAAUAGCAAGUACAACAAUCUCUGAUGUUGUUUUCUUUAUAAAAACACAUGGGCAAAUUUCAUUAUUUUUAUAACCUUUUUUAGAUAAAUACUUACUAAGACGUUUAUACUACAUGCGUUCAGAUUGCUUCAAACCAUAUAAUGAUCUCUGCAAUUUACUUGAAUAUAUUUCUCGAGAUGCCUCAUGCAUUUUAUAUCCUUCAGAAAUUUUCAUGUAUAUCUCAUUAUCAAGUGAUUCAUAAAGAUAUGUUGUAACCACAUCCAUCAAAUGCAUUUCAAGCCUCUCAUGAACAGUGAAACUAAUGAGAUAACAUAAUGUUAUUCCAUCCAUAACUUGUGAGUAUGUCUCUUCAUAAUCGAUGUCAAGCCUUUGUGAAAAUCCUUAUGCAACAAGGCGUGCCUUAUGUCUUUGUAUUUUAUUUUUCUUAUUUCUUUUACGCACAAAGGCCCAGUUAUAGCCAACAGAUUUAAUACCAUUUGGUGUUUGAACAAUAGGUCAAAAAACAUCACGCUUGAUAAGUGAAUUCAACUCAAAUUAAAUUGUUUCUUGUCAUUUUGGUCAAUUAUUUCUUUGUCGACAUUCGGUGACUGACUGAGGUUCGAAAUUCUUGCCAUCUUACAUGAUUUUUAUUGCAAUAUUUAUGUAAACACAUAGUCCACCACUAUUUUUUAUCGAUUCAACUUAGCUUCACCAUCAUUUGUAUUUAUAGAUAGUUUUUCAUUUUCUUGAGGUUCAGACUCAUUGGUUCCUUCAGGGAUAAAUUGUUCAAAUCUUGAACUUCCAUAUGAGAUUCUUUCGUAAUGUCAUCUUGAUCAUUUAUUUUUAUUUUUCUAGAAUUUUGAUCCUUAGAACCUAAUGAUCUACCACGUUUCGGGUGUGCUUUAGACUCAUUAGCCACGAUACUAGUAGAUGGUCUUACAGGGACCUCAACUCGUAUUGGGACAUUCAUUGUAGGAAUGCAUGAUUUUGUAAUCCUUUUAAAUUUGUAAAUGUGUCUGGCAUUUGAUUUACAAUUUUCUAUAAGUGAAUAAUCUUUUGUACCUCUUGCUCACAAAUAGAAGUACGUGGAUCAAGAUGAGACAGUGAUGGAUUUUUUCACAAAAUUUUUCUUUUGAUUUCACUAUUUUCUCCCCUAAUUUUGGAAAAACAGUCUCAACAAACCGAUAAUAUACAAGUCGAUCAGUAAACAUAUCUCCAGUUAAUUAUUCAACGUAGCGAAUAAUUGAGAGUGAUUCAAAUCCAACAUAUAUUCCUAACCUUCUUUGGGGGUCUAUGUUUGUGAAACACCUUGUCUUUGGUGUAAUACCCCAUACUUUUCUUUGUUCAGUUCAGCUCAUAGUGCUUGCAUAAGAGGUUUAGAAUUUGAAAAUUUCUCUAAGUUUUGGGGAAUUAGUCUUAUUUUUGGCCUCUUAACUUCGAGGAUUUUUUAAACUGGCCUUCCUGACCCCGAGAUGUAAGUUUUAGAGUUAAUUCAUGUUCACGGGUAUAAGGAGUAUUUCUUGGGAAAGUUUUAAAUUGUUUAGAUGAUAAUUGAGGCAUGUUUGGAUUUCAAUUCCAGAACCUCACCGCGAUAGUGGCGCAUAGUGGUGCGUAUAGCAAUGAGCACAUUACCCCAUCGCGGUGCCAGUCUAAACAACAUUUCAGUUACGAAUUUAAUCCUUGAGGGGCAAUCAUGUCUUUUUCUCACUAACCCAAUUCGUAAAAACAAGAGAUUAAACUUCAGUUAGGGCAUUAUUUGCCCUAAUUCUCCUAAUUACUCUCAAAUACAAGCCCUUUCCUUCCCCAAGUUCAUCAAAUUCAAUCCCCUUCCUUCCAAGAAAACCAAGAAUUUGUGUUUCCCAAUCCAAGAACAUUCAAGAAAGCUUUCAAGAUUGUGUUUCUAUUUCAACUUUAAGAGUCUAAGGUAUGUGAGAUGUUCAUCCAUGGGUCCUUUCCUCCCAUGGAGUUCAACAAUCCGUCUUUAUGUUUUAAAUUAUGAAAUUACAUGUUCAUGUUGAAUUAUCUCCAUUAAGUUUUAUGAAUUUGGGUUAUACAUUAUGUUUGCAAUUGUUUUUUGAUGGAAUUGGCCUUACACAUUGGAAUGAUGAUAUUUUUAUAUUAAAUCCUUGAUUAAUGGUUUUUAGUAUUGAAGCUAUGUUAUUAUUACAUGUUCUAAACCAUUCUUAUGCUUUAAUUCAUGACCCUCAUGUGUUUGAUAAAAUGCCUAAGUGUUGAAUUUGGAAUAAUAAUUUCCUUCUAUGGUUUCAAAGAUUUCAUGUGUUCCUAUUGUGAUUCCAUUGAGUCCUGGAGGGUUAUGAACACCCGUUACUUAGCUGUUUACAUAGUUUUUAGUAUUUUUAGAAUGGUUUCAGGUAAACCAUGAGGUCUUAUCAUUUAGUUAGUAUCAUGUUCAAUUGUUAGCUCAGUUAAGCUCAGUUUAGUCCAGUAGUUAGUGUCAUUCAGUUAGGAGUAGGAUUCAGCACCGAGCGAACCUAGGGAUUAGGGCAUUCCUACCAGGUUAGGGUUUGACCCUUAGUAGCAAUCCCUGAGUUACAGAACUACAUAGCCAGCAUAGGUUGAGAUGUGUUCCUGGCAGUUUAGGGUUGACACACAUCACAUGAGUACUCCUGCCAGAUUAGGGUGACUUUUUAGACCUUCGAGACACUAGUUUAGUGGAUCCACACAGCCAUUGUUAGUACCCGUGGCAUGGUACUGACACCCUUCCAACUAGGGUUACGAGUUGGACCCCGAUUAGCUCAGAUUGGGGCAUGUCGGUUAGAUGAUACCUCCCACUAUCUCAGUUCAGUAUUAAGAACAAAAUUCAAUUUCAGGUUUUCUUGACCAUAGCAUACAGUUAUCAGAUUUUAGUAUUUUAGUUUACAGACUGUUCAGACUCAUAUUAUAUGCUUGGUCAUGCAUUCUCAAAUUUUACUACUUUCACAUAUUUAUAUUCAGUAAUCUCAUGCUAUUCAUCCAGUCAUUACUUCAUGCACAUAACCCAUGCAUUUCAACCUAAUCUUAUCUUUUAUACCGGUACAUUCAAAGUACUAAUCGUAUACUCAUUUCUUGAGCUAUGAUGUUUAAUAUCAUAGGUUCAAAUGCUCAGUUUCUUGACCGCACUUAGACGUUUUAGCUUAUCAGCAACGAUAACAAAAGUGAGUCCUCAUGUUUUGACGACCUAUUAUGUUUCUUUCGAUAUUUUAGUAUUUCUUUCCAGUUAGCCAGUCGAAGUUUGUUGGGGGCUUGUACCAUCAACUCCUAAGUCAGUAGAGGCUUUCAACUUUUCUGACAGUUAGUUAGUUUAUCAGUUAUAUCAGUCAGAUAUUCAGUAUUGUCGCAUAUUUUUCUAACUCAUGGAUUCAAAUGUAUUGUUUUCAAUAUUUAAACCUUAUGGUGUAUUUAGUUGAUUUUUGCAUAUGUCUUUUAUUAUCAAUUUUACUCAGUACUCACAGCAGGUACCAGCUUAUGGGUUAGCUUAUGGUCACUUGUGAUUGUAAGCACCAUUGUCGCGACUAGGGGGUAUCUUCGGGUCGCGACAAAACUUAGUAUUAGAGCCUAAGGGCUUACAAUGUCCUAGGGAGUCUAAAAGCCACAUUGGGUAGAGUGUUGUGCAUGGAGGUGAAGCACGCCACACUUAUGGACAAGAGUCUACGAGAUGUUUUAGGAAAAAUUGCCCUUCUUUCAAUGUUUAUGUCGUGCAAAAGAGCAUGAGCUCUAGUUAAACUCUCUUUCUAAUUCAUUUUUCCUUCCGUUUAUAGAAAAUGCCUCCCAGAAAGAACAAUAGAAGAAGAAACAAAAAUCAACCUGCACCUCCGCAUGUUCAGAAAGAUCCCCUGAAUGAGCAUGUCUCUCACGCUGAGCUCAGAGCUGUCUUCACUACUUUAGCUCACUCAGUAGUAUCUCAGAAAAAUCAGCGGGCUGUUAUCCCAGCUAAUCCAAUAGCUGAUACAACUACAGCUAGGAUUCAGGACUUCACCCGAAUAACCCUCUUUAUUUUUUAAGACCCAAGUCCGAUAAGGAUCCACAGGAGUUCCUUGAUAUGGUUCAGAAGGUGGAUGAUAUUAUGGCUUUCACAUCUAGUGAGAGUGCAGAGUUGGUUGAUUACCAGUUGAAGGAUGUAGCUCACACAUGGUAUAAGCAGUUCAAGGAAGAUAGAGGUGCAGAUGCAGGGCCUAUAGAUUGGGAAGAAUUUGCCAUGGCCUUCUUAGCUAGGUUCUUCCCUUUGGAUUUGAGGGAAGCUAAGGUGCAUGCGUUUAUAAAUUUGAAACAUAUUAGUAUGAGCAUAAAGAAGUAUUCCCUUAAGUUUACUCAGUUGGCCAGGUAUGCUCCUAACUUGGUAGCUGAUAAUAGGUCUAGAAUGAGUAAAUUUGUAUAUGGUAUAGCUGAUAGUAUAGUCAUAAGUGUGGGAUUUCUAUAUUAAUUAAGGAGAUGGACUUGUAUAGGCUUAUGGUUCAUGCUCAGCAGAUUGGGGAGAAGAAGGUUAAGGAGAAAAAAAGAGAGAACAAGAAGGCUAGAACAGAUAGCUUUAAUUUUUCACAGCUGAGGUCAGAUAGUGGUAACCGUUCUCAAUUCUGUCAAAAAUUAUAACGACUCGAGACUACCCCCUAGUUAUCACACGGUUUUUGAAACCACAAGUGAUCCUAAGCUAAUUCAUGAACUGGCAUACUGUUAAGAAAUUAAAUUAUAACAUAAUAAAUAGUUGUUCGGCUGUACGAAAACAUAAUCAUACUGAAAAUCUAAAAUAGAUACAAUACUGAUAAAGCUUUACAAUCUGAUAAAUCUGAAGGAUGAAACUGAAAUUACAUGACUAACUUUGACUGACAUCUAUGAAGCCUCUACUAUACUGACUAUAGAUAGUUAGGACAUGCCUCCAACUACCACUAAUCAAUACACAUGGAAAAUAAAUAAAUUAUACAUGAACUAAAUUUUUCUAGAGUUCCCGAAGUAGGAGAACUCAUCACCUGCUGGCUGGAAUCUACAACUGUCUGAUCAUGAUAUGCGGGCUACAAUUAGUACCUACAUUAUGAAACAAUGUAGACACACAGACGUAUAUGUGGAUCGGUACUUCUGGAAUGUAUUGAGUAUGCAGGGGUGAAUGCAAUAAGUAAAAUAGAUUUAUACGUAAUCUUAAAACAUGCAUGCUAAGUGUAAGUAGACUCACCAAUAGGCUGGAAUAAACUGGAACUGAAAUAUCUUAAAGCAUGAGUGACAAAUAUUUUCUGAUAAGAUGGUGAAUCUCUACACUUAAUUUCUGUAAACUUUACUUUAAUAAUAUAAGCAUAACUGAAGCUGGGAUAUGAUAAAACAUGGAUUCUGUAUGAAUACUGGUCUGAAACUAUGUGAUGGAGACUGACAUAAAUAGAGGAUCUGAAUAUAUAAUCACACUGAGCACGAAUGCAUAAACAUACUAACUUAUCUGAUUAACUGAAUGACUAAUAGCUGAAUAGUGGCAUGUAAGACUGAAUUGUACUUAGUCUGAAUAACUAUACUAAAACUAUAGAUUAUUAUACAUAUAAGGUAAGUACUGACUGAGUAACAUGAGAUAACUGAGCAUGAAUUCGUGAAAAACUAUAUUAUUUGAGAAUGCAAGACCAAGAGUAUAAUAUGAUUCUGAAGUAGUUUGUAAACUGAGGUUCUACAAUACUGAUAACUGAAUAACUAAUAACUGUAAGCUAUGGUUAAGCAAACCUGAAAUUGAACUGAGUUAUUAAUCUGAUUACUCGACUGAGACUGUGACUGAGACUGUAACUAAGACGGUAACUGAGACUGUAACUAAGACAAUAACUGAGACUAUAACUAAGGAUGUAACUAAGACUUAUACUAGAACUGAGUACUGCGAUUAUUGAUAACUGAGUUACUAAAAAACUGGGUGACUGUAUCUGACAGUCCUAAUUUUAUAGAACUGAACUGAGUUCUAUAUUGAGUCUAAAACUAAAAUUAAAACUGUGAGAGGUAAUUAUCUAACCGACAUGCCCCUCUCUAAAUAGAUUGGGGUCCUACCUAUAACCUCAGUUAGAAGGGUGUCAGUACCGUGCUAUGGGCAAAGACACGCUGAAGAGUCAACCCUCAAUCUGGCAGGUUGAUGUCUCAACCUACACUGGCUAUGUAGUUCUGGAACACAAGGACUGCUUCUAAGGAUCAUAUCCUCUAUUGGCAGGUGAAUCCCCAUCCUUGGGUUUACUCAGUGCUGAAUCUUACUCUCAAGUGAAAUAGACAUUGAACUAAUUUCUAAACUAUACGAGGUUGGACUGAACUAUUACUGAUCAUGUUAACAAAGUGAACUGGACUGAGUUCACUGAGUUAUGAUGUCUGAUUGAAUACAGUGAGUUUUGUACUGACUGAGUACUACUGAUCGUGACAUUACAAAGACUACUCUGUAACUACUAUAGCUCUAGGUAAACAGCUAGAUUUUUGGGUAUUGAAUACCUCCAGGACUCGAUAGCAUGGAAAGUAAAGCAUAGCAUGAUCUUGAAAAGCAUGGCCAUAGUCAAUUGUUCACAAUUCAUUCACUGAUACAUUUUAUCAAACACUUGGAAGUUAUGGACUUGUACAUGAAUGAGAACACAUGGUAACGUGUCAUGAUUACCCUAUUCAAUUCACAUGGGCAUUCUAUCAAGCACGUGGAGAUUAAUACUUUAAUAUGGGGCAAUUCGCUAAACACAUAGGGAUCAUGAACUUGGACAUAGGAAUAUCUUAAACACGGGAGCAUAGCAUGAUUACAUAACUAAAAUCAUGAAUUGAGAAAUUCACAUGCAAUUCGCUUGAAAUAGGACAUGGGUAUUUCAUCAAAAUAUGUAAAGUUCAUAACUUGAACAUAAGAAUGUCUUAAUCAUGAGGGAAUAAUAGAGUUACAUGGCAAAAUUCAUAACUUGGGGAUUCAUCUUGAAAUUGACUUAACAUGAUAUGGGGAUUUCAUCAAACAUGUAGAAGGCAUGAAUUUAAAACAUGGGAAUAUUGCUAAACAUUAUGAAUUUAGAAUCUGUCAUGGAAUUUACUUGAAUAAAGCAUGGAAAAUUCAAAUUCAUAGCAUGAGGAAUUUAAAAUCUUUCAUGAAAUCAUACAUGGGCUGAAUUGAAUUAAAAACAUCAUGAAAACAAGAGAUUCAAUCUUUCUUGAACUUACAAAAUACCAUAGUAAUGGAAAAUUCAUUACCUCAAAGCUUUAAUCUUGAAGGAGAAACACAAUCUUGAAAGCCUUCUUGAAUUAGGAAACUUGAGUUCUUGAUUUUCUUGAAGAAACACUGAUGAAGUUCUUGGUGUUCUUGAGGAGGCUAGGGUUUUUCUUUUAAAUAAAAGAUGAAUAAUUGAUUGUAUAUUGCUUUUAGGGGCUGAAAUUAUGUGUUAUGGAAGGAUUUGGUUGAGGGGAAGUGACCAAAGUGCUCCUAGAUCCUUUAGAAACUGAAUUAGCAUGUGAAACAGUUUUGUAACGCGUAGGAUGAUGCAUCGCGUCGCUAUCGUAUCAGUUUACUGCCUCAUACAGAAAAUGCCAUAACUUUUCGCUCGGGUAUCGGAUUUUGGCAAAAUUGGCAUCGUUGGAAAGCUAAUUCAAUUAUCUACAAUUUUAUGGGUCUUGGGAUACAAAAUUCUAUGUAUAUAAAAAGGUAUAUAUUUUUAAAGUAGACCCUUAUAGAAUCAAAUACCAAACUUUGGACGAAUCAAAGUCUCUAAGCUCAACUUUGUUCUAAUUGAUUCUUAUGAACAUUUUUCACCUCAAAAGCAAAUCAAACAUGAGAAUAAAGAUCAUAAACUUAAAUUCACAUGGGAAUUAUUUAUAUUAUAGCUUAUACACAUAUGAACAGUGGUUUGAAGAUUAUCCCAAAAAUGCGGGCUAUACACGUAGGAACGAUAGUUCGAAGAUUAGCCCAAAAAUGUGGGGUAUUACAAAAAUCUUCAGCCACAGCUCCAUCUUCAGCUAGUACACUAGUACCAAAGUUCAAAAAUGAUAAUCGGGAUAAAGCACCAAGCUCAAAGUCCCAGGGCAGUGUAAACAAUAGAUAUACUAAUCCCCUUUGCCAGAAAUAUGGUAGAAACCAUCUAGGUGUGUGUAGGGCUAGCAGUGAUGUGUGUUUUGGGUAUGGCAAGCCAGGCCACAGAAUCAGAGAAUGUCCUAAAGUUUGUCUGCUAAGUCAGCACAAUCGUCCUUCAGCUCCAGCAGGUUAUUCGACUCAGCAGAGAGCUACAUCCAGUGCCACUAGUUGACAGUAAUAGAACAAGCUAUAUGCACUUUAGUCCCAACAGGAUCAGGAAAGGUCUCCUGAUAUAGUUAUUAGUACGUUGCAGGUCUUUCAUCUUCAUGUUUAUGCUUUGUUAGACCCCAAAGCUUCACUUUCUUUUGUAACCCCCUAUAUAGCUGUUAAUUUUGGUGUCAGUUCCAAAACUUUAGCAGAAUCUUUCUUAGUGUCUACCCCAGUGAAUAAAUCUAUCAUAGCCAAGCGGGUAUACAAAAAAUCCCUAGUUACAGUAUCCCAGAAAAUUACUUCAGUAGACUUUGUGCAGUUAGAGAUGACUAAUUUUGAUAUCAUUCUCGACAUGGAUUGGCUCUACUCAUGUUAUUAUUUAGUUGAUUAUAGAAAUAGAGUCAAUCAUUUUUAGUUUCUGAAUGAACCAGUUCUUGAAUGGUGAGGUAGUACUUCAGCACAUAGGGGUCAGAUUGCUUCAUAUCUUAGAGCAAGAAAAAUGAUAUCCAAGGGAUGUGUUUACCAUCUCGUUCGAAUUAGAGACUCUAAUUUCGAGACUCCCAGUCUCGAGUUAGUUUCAAUAGCGAGGGAAUUUCCAGAUGUGUUCCCUGAAGAUCUUCCCUGAGUUCCUCCCAAAAGAAAAAUUAACUUUAGAAUAGACCUUCUUCCAAAUACCCAGCCUAUCUCUAUUUUGCCCUACAGAAUGGCUCCAAUUGAGCAUUGGGAGUUAAAAGAACAGUUGAAAGAUCUUCUAGAUAAGGGAUUCAUCAGGCCUAGUGUCUCCCCAUGGGGCGCUCAAGUCCUUUUCAAGCGUAAGAAAGAUAAUUCCCUUAGAAUAUGCAUCGAUUACCGUAAGUUGAACAAAGUCACUAUCAAGAAUGAGUACCCACUUCAUAGAAUUGAUGACUUGUUUGACCAAAUUUAGAGUGGUAGUUAUUUCUCUAAGAUAGACCUUAGAUCCGGCUAUCAUCAGCUCAAAAUCAGAGAAUAUGACAUUGUGAAAAUAGCUUUUAAAAUUCAGUAUGGUUAUUUCAAAUUUCUAGUUAUGUCAUUUAGACUAACGAAUGCCCCAACAACCUUCAUGGACUUGAUAAACACAGUGUUCAAGCAGUACUUGGUCAUGUUCAUCAUAGUCUUUAUUGAUGAUAUUCUUGUCUAUCCUGUAGUGAAAAUGAUCAUGCAGACAUCCUCAGAAUUGUAUUGCAGACCCUUAGAUCCCAUGCGUUAUUUUCCAAAUUCAGUAAGUGCGAGUUUUAGCUAAGAUCAGUAGCUUUUCUUGGCCAUAUUAUUUCUGGUAGUGGCAUCAGAUUUAACCCUCAAAAUACUGAAGUAGUAAGAAACUGAUCCAAACCCAUCCCUCCAUUAGUUUUUAGGAGUUUUUUGGGUUUAGCUAGCUAUUACAGAUGGUUUAUUGAAGGGUUUUCAUCUAUCACAUCCCCCAUUUCUUAAUUGACCCAGAAGAAAUUCAAGUUUUAGUGGUUAGACUCCUAUGAGAAAAUUUUUCUGGAGUUGAAGACUCGACUCAUCUCGGCCCUAGUCUUAACGUUGCCAGAUGGUUUAGAUGGGUUUGUUAUUUACUGUGAUGCUUUCAAAGUCAGUCUAGGUUGUAUGUUGAUGCAGAGAGGUAAGGUCAUAGCCUAUGCCUCUAGACAUCUUAAACCCCAUAAAAAGAAUUAUCCUACCCAUGAUCUUGAGUUAGCAGCCGUUGUUUUAUCAUUGAAAAUUUGAAGGCAUUAUCUUUAUGGGGUACAUGUUGAUGUGUUCACAGAUCACAAAAGCUUGCAGUAUGUGUUUUCACAGAAAAAUUUAAAUCUCCAUCAGAGGAGGUGGUUAAAGUUGUUAAAAGAUUAUGAUAUGACUGUGUUGUAUCAUUUAGGCAAGGCCAAUGUAGUGACAGAUGCCCUUAGUAGAUUGUCUAUGGGUAGUAUGGCUCAUGUUGAGGAUAAUAAGAAGAAGCUAGUUUGGGAGGUUCGUCAUCUUGCUAGAUUAGGUGUUUGGUUGGUGGAUUCUGCUGAGGGUAAUGUAUGGGGUCAAAAUAGUUUCGAAUCUUCUUUGGUUGCCAAAGUAAAAAAAAAAAGCAAGACAGGGAUUCCAGUUUGGUUAAGUUGAAGUAUCUAGUCAGAGAUAAGAAAGUAGAGGGUUUAUCCCAAUGGGGAGAUAGUGUGUUGCGAUGUUAAGAUAAACCAUGUGUACCGUGUGUUGAUGGUUUGAGAUAGCGAAUCCUUACAAAAGCGCAUAGUACAUGUUAUUCUAUUCUCCCAGGAGCCACUAAGAUAUACCGUGAUUUACGAGAAAUCUAUUGAUGGAGUGGUAUGAAGAGAGAUAUUGCAGAGUUCAUAGCUAAGUGAUCUAAUUGUCAGCAGGUUAAGGUUGAGCACCAGAGGCCUAGUGGUACUUUGCAGGAUUUUAGUAUUCCCACUUAGAAGUGGGAAGAGCUGAACAUGGAUUUUAUGACAGGGUUGCCUCACACACAUCGUCAGCAGAUUCGAUAUAGGUUAUUGUCGAUAGAAUGACCAAAUUAGCCUAUUUCUUGCCGGUUCAUACUUCUUACUCAACUGAGGAUUACUCUAAGCUCUAUAUUAGAUAGUUGGUUAGGUUGCAUGGAGUCCCGUUGUCUAUUAUUUCAGAUAGGGGUACUUAGUUUACCUGUCACUUUUGGAAAGAUUUUCAAAAGGGUCUUGGUACCUAAGUUUAUCUUAGUAUAAAUUUUCAUCCUCAGACAGAUGGUCGGGCAUAAAGGAACAUUUAGACCCUAGGGGACAUGUUGAGAGCUUGUGUUAUUGACUUUAAGGGUAGUUGGGAUGAUCACAUGCCAUUAAUUGAGUUUGCCUAUAAUAACAGUUAUCACUCCAGUAUUUAGAUGGCUUUAUUUGAGGCUCUCUAUGGAAGGUGUCACGCCUCAAAUCCUAUUGGGGCGGACAGGCACCCGUAGUCGUAAAGGCCUGAGAGAACCAAUUCAUAACCUUGUACUUCUCAUGCAUGUAACUAUGACAACCAAAGGUUCUGACAAAUAUGAUAUUUUGUAUCAAUGAUAAUAAUUACAUAGGCAAGCACAAACUUACAUAUAAAAUACUUGGCCGUUGGGGCCACCACACUACAAAAAAUGUGUAAAAUUGCGGGAGUUUAUUUGCGGAGGUUAUUUUAACCUCUGUAAAAUUAUAUAAAAUGUGGGGUUUUAAACAUUGCCGCUAAAAUUUAUAAAUUUGUGGGGGUUUAAACCCCCACUAUAAAUUGCGGGGGUUUAACCCCCCGCUAUCAAUAGAAAAAAGUUACUUUAUACCAUUAAAUAAAAAAAUUCCCUCUAUUUUUUAAUUGGCCAAAAUUUUCAUUCCCCCCUCCCAAAUCUCCCUCUCUCUCAUUUCCCCCAAAAUUUCCAUUCCCCUCCCCAAAAAUAAGAGAUCUAUAAUGGAAAGAAGGCAUAGGUUCCGCUGGUGCUAACUCAAAUCUAUACCCUUAUGCAUUGUAUUCGCAUACGUCAUAUAGGGGAGGUAUCACUUUUGCAACUUACAUUUGAUUAUUCUAUUUUUUUUGUAAUGUCUUCACUUUCAAUCAUCCAGAGGAUUUGAGAUGCCCACCGACACUGGAUCAGCCUUGGUUCAUGGUAUUUGUUAUUCUCAUAUUAAUUUCAUGUGUUUUUGUGUAUGUAAAUUCCACUUUUUUUUCCUAUUUAUUUUGUCCACUUUGCAAACCAUUUAGUUCAGUAACAGUUAAAUUCAUGGAACUGGAUGCUGCUUUGUAUAUGAACAUAGAAAUGACACUGAAGGAGAGGUUUCAAACCAAGAUGUACAUCUUUCAAUCAUUCUUCCAAAAGUUCCUGGCCGUUUUUACUUCUACGUCGGUAAGCCAAUUGAAACCGAAGGUAAUUAUAUUUCUGAAGUAUGUAGUUCAGUGUAUUGACGUAAGCGUAGAAGUAAUCAAUCUUUGAUGACCUUUUACUACUUGUUGCAGGGAGAAAUGAGGAACUAAAAAGCAGGGAGAAAUCACAUGAAUUAUAUUUGGAAGUGAAGUAUGAGGUUGAGAGAUGCCUUGAAUACCUGAAGGAGAAAAGAGAGAGUGAUCCGUAUAGGAACAUAAUGGCCCGCCUCCCUUACCAGACUACCCAUGGCUUUAAUUCUCAAGUUCCUACCUUUGAUCUAUAGUAUUUUUUUUCACAUAUUUAAUUCUCUUCUCAUCCUGAGAUAUUUAAAUUUGCACCUUCCUUCCUUCAAAAGAAUAAAACAAAACAGAAAAUGAAAAAAUUGUUAAGAAGUUAUGCUUCUUUUGAUUUACACGUUCGUUCUUUCUCAGGUAUUUACAAUAAAGCAGAUAGCAUUUUACAGCGAGUUGAUCAUACAUAGUAUGGCAUGUGAAGACGUAGGACGCUUAAUUCCUCAUCCAUUACCUUUUUACAGUAAUAUUGGUUGACUGGAGCUAUUGUUAUUAUUAUUAGUAUUAUGGGUAUUUUUGAGAAGUGAUGGCCAAACAUACAUGAUCAAUUAAGUGUUAAACUAAAAUAGGGAGGGCGUUGGUUUUCGUAGGGGAUGGAGAUAAUAGCAUCCCAUAUUCACACCUGAAGAAUGGGGUAGUCAUAAAUAGAACCAGAGUCUGCUUAGAAAUAAAAGGAAAAAAAGACCAAAAUUGAUUAGGCAAAAGACGUUUAGGUAGAAGUGGUCCCUCCAUCAGUCAUCCAAACUAUAGAAACGUAAUUAUGAAGUCAGUUAAAAAAGUUGACGGGCCCUACUAAAUUUAAAAAAAAUAAAAUAAUUGCAGAGGUUUUAACCUCCGCAAGUUUUAAAUAAAUAUUUAUUAUAAAAAUAAUUAUAUUUAGAAUAAUCGGUUUUAAUAAUCGCCGUAAAUUAAUUACGGGGGUCAUAACCGCUGCAAAAUAACCCCUACAAAUUAAUUAUGGGGGUUGAAAAAAAACCGUCGCAACUUGUUUGUGACGGCUCAUAUUUCGAGGAUUUUGGAAACCCCUGAAAUUAUAUUUUGCGGGGGUUUUAAAACCCCCGUAAACAGCAAAAUGAACUCCCGCAAUUUAGCCCCUUUUUGGUAGUGCCAUGUCUAAAGGCAAGACACUACCAUAACUUUACAUUAGUCUACAAAGCCUCUAAAAUAUACAUAGACUUAGUUAGGGUCGGGACAAACCCCCGCCCUACUCUUGACUUACUAUAUAUUGAACAGACUCGGAGAGCCCCGAAUCAAAGCUCACCAAUAGUCAUUUAAUAGCCUGCGCUCCUACUAGUGAGGUGUAUGAACUGAAGUACCUGUGCCUGCAGCAUAAAAUAUAGGUCCCCUGUGAGGGACGUCAGUACAAAAAUAUGUACUAAAUAUGUAAGACUGAAGGUAGCAACACAUGAUACAAGAGCUCAAUAGAAAUCAAAUACAAGUGUAUAAGUAGUACUAGUAUACCACCUUUAUAUAUACUUGUGGGACUACAUACAUUAGGUUCCUUUCUUCAUUUUUACCUUUCUUACUUCAUAAUCUUUGUAAGCCAUAUAUAAUGCAAGUGACCAGUUGAUCAGUGGUAAAUAGAUAAAUUAGGAUUGGCCCAUCUAGGCUUAUGCCCCUAAGCUGCCACCUAUAUAUAAAGAUUGGGAUCGGCCCACGCUAGGUUUAUGCACUUGAAAUGCCACCCAUAUAAAGGUAUCGAGAUCAGCCCAUGCUAGGCUUAUGCCCCUGAGCUGCCACUCGUUCUACAUAUUUAUUUUACUUAGUUUAUUUAUCCUUUAAGAUUGUUACUUUGGUGGUCAUAAUAUUAUGGUACCUUGAACCAAUAAUCAGGUAAUAAGAGACAUAUAAAUGGACACUUAAUGCAACAAUAAUGGGGUAGGAAGCUAUUGGCACACAAAUAAAGUGUUUAGGAGCUGAAAAUAACACAUGGGUCUUAUUUAAACAAGCGGAGAACUCCUGAAAUUUUCUAGAGAAGAUAGACGUGCAGGUUUAAUAAUAAGCAUGUAUUGAGGUGUUUUAACAUGUUAGAGAGUGGAAACAAGGUCAUUGGCUACAUGGAAUGUAACGUGCGGCUAUUAUGUAUCACUUGUUAUAGGAUAACCUUGGAAGCUUACUUGAUGGAACAAAUGUCCGAUUUCAUUCCAAAGAGUGCAAAAUAGAGUAUGCCUUACAUACAUGGUUAUAUAACUCCGAAACUAACCCAACUUGACUUUCCACCUUUUAGAUUACUUAUCUAUAAUAGAAUAUAUGGUAAAUUAAUAUUAGCAAGCAACUAACACAUUUAGGCUACUUAACUUCACCCAAAAUAAUAACUGGGCAGUAAGCCAGUAAUCUAUCAAUCAAGGGUGUUAUUUUAACCCUUUUCUCCUCUAAUUACACCCACAGGUUCUUAUAAGAUUCACCGAAACCACCUCGACUUCAUUACACUGUCCAAACAAUACUCCAAAACAGAUUGGGUAGUAAACAAAUGCAAUAAUUGGUUUGGUGGUGUACCGUCACACCUUUCUUCUAUAUUUCAUUACAAACUAAUCAUACCUUUCUCCAACAUCAAAAAAAUAAAUACAAAACAGCCUCAAAUCCUUUUCAUUGUAGCAAUCAAUUAUUGAACUCAUCAUCUCUUGAGUUCUCAAUAACAAUACAUCCAUAAUUCUCUUUCAAAUUCACAUACAAGGAGAACAAAAUGGAGAAGUCACCUUACCUCAAUUUCUACAACUUAUUCUUUUAAUUUGAACUCCUUAAAACUUCAACUUUCACUUUCCUUCACACUUUAAACCAAAGAAGAAAAGAGAUAUCUUAAUAACAAAAAAAAAGUGAGCAAGUAGCUUUUCUAUAUUCUGCCAUGUAUUUAUAAUUAGGCACCUAUAGCAUGUUUUCCUAAUCUUUCAUGAGAUAAUUAAGCUAAACCAUAAGAUUUUUCACUUACCUUAAUCUACGAAGGUGAGGGUUUCUUCAAAAACCCUAGAAGGAAUUCUAGGGCUGCUCCUUGUUGUUUUAUAGAGAGUAGAGAGAUUUUGUGGAAUAUACACUUUUUUGUGACUUAGAAAUGAAGUAAAAUGACCAGCAACUUGGCCUUAUAAAGGCCCUAUUUUGUCCACCUCCUUAGCUGCAUUUUGGACCUUAAAAUUGGUCAAAUUGGUCCAAGUAGGUGAUGCACCUACUUAAGGGUUUAAGCUUCUCAAAUUUUCAAAGUAGGUGAUAUACCUACUUACUUAAAUUCUUAUUUUGGGCUCAAUUAACUUGGGCCUUUGGCAUAUUUGUGUGUUGGUCCAUUUAUCCAUUUUCUUCCUUGUUUAUUCAAUUUGGUCCCAAAUGAGUACAUUAGUAUAGGUCCAAAUCUGGUCCAUAGCCAUAGGUCCAUUAAUUUGGUCCAAAUAGCUUAAGUAGGUGAUUCACCUACUAGCUUAAUUAAGUCAAGCAAGCACCUCAAUAUUUUAUUCCAUUUCCAUCUCCUAAUCCCUUUAGUCUAACCUUUAACUUAUACAUACUUGCUCACUUUAAAGUCUAGAUUCAAAUACUAGCUUACGAUCCCAAGUUUACAUAGUCAUAUCGACGUUAACUUGGUCGCAUCACAUUAAACUGUACGGGCAGCAUCUAUAAUUCCAUCUACACCAUUAAUACUUGUAUAAAAAAUCUCAUUUGUUACCUAUACCACAAGUCUGUACCAAGUUCCAUGUAAUUAGAACAAGUACAAGUAAAAUACGGGAUAUUACAUCCUUCCUCCCUUAGGAUCAUUCGUCCUCUAAUGUUAGCAUAACUAUCCAACCAAAACAAGUUCAAGCCUAAGUUUAAUAUCCCUAUUAUCACAUAGUACUUAUAUAUUAUACUUACUUGUUAGCUCUCUAAUUCAGCAUCUUGGACUUUCCCUUCGUAUUUGAACAAAUGGUGGUACUUAGAUUUCAUCGCUUCUUCAGCUUCCCAUGUUAUCUCUUCUACUUGUUGGUUCCUCCAAAGCACUUUUACAGAAGCUAUUUCUUUUUUCCUUAACUUCUUAACUUGUUGAUCUAGGAUAGCAAUAGGUAUUUCUUCAUAGGUAAAAUCUUCCGUAACUUGCACAUCUUUAGUAGGAGUGAUAUGAGAUGGAUCUCCCAUGCACUUUUGAAGCAUUGAGACAUGAAAUACUGGAUGAACUAUUGAGAUCUCUUGGGGUAUCGACUUGGAAAAACAUCCAAGUAAUCUUGUAUGGGCCUAUAUAACGUGGACUUAGUUUUACUUUCUUACCAAAUCUCAUAACCCCCUUCAUUCGUGACACCUUUAAGAAUACCCAAUCACCUAUAGCAAACUUUAACUCCUUCCUUCUAACAUCUGGAUAUGACUUAUGUCGACUUUGGGCUAUUUCUAGCCACUGUUAGAUCACUUUAACCUUUUACAUAGCUUGAUGAACAAGAUCUAGUUCGAAUAAUGUAGUUUCACCCGCUUCAAACCAUCCAAUUGGUGAUCUAUACUUUCUUCCAUACAAAGCUUCAUAUGGUGCCAUUUUGAUACUCGAAUGAUAACUAUUGUUGUAGGCAAACUCGAUGAGAGGUAAAUGAUCAUCCCAACUACUUUUAAAGUCUAAUACACAAGAUUGUAGCAUAUCUUCAAGUGUUUGAAUGGGACGUUCUGCUUUUCCAUCUGUUUGAGGGUGAAAAGUUGUACUUAGAUUCACUUGUAUUCCCAAAUUUCUUAAGAAAGACUUCCAAAAAUUUGUAGUAAAUUGAGCUCCUCGAUCUGAUAUAAUAGUGAUUGGAACUCUAUGCAGCUGAACUAUCUUUUUAAUACAUAAUUUGGCAUAUUCUUCAACUGAGUAAGUAGUCCUAAACGGUAGAAAGUGUGCUGAUUUGGUAAGCCUAUCAACUAUCACUCAUAUGGAAUCAAUCCUUCAAGAUGUAGGAGGAAAACCAGCGAUGAAAUCCAUGUUGAUCAUGUCCCACUUCCAGAUUGGAAGAUCUAUACAUUGUAUAUAACCCCCAGGCUUUUGGUGCUCUACUUUAACUCUUUGACAAUUUGGACAUUCGGCUACAAACUCUGCAAUGUUCUUCUUCAUGUCACCCCACCAAUAAAUCCCUUUCAAAUCAUGGAACAUUUUUGUUGACCCUGGAUAGAUGGAAUACCUUGAAUGAUAUGAUUCUGUCAUAAUCCUCUUUCUUAGCCCGUCUACAUUAGGCACACAUAAUCUAUUUUGGCACCGAGUACUCCCUCUUGCGUAAGCUCAAAUACCUUUUUCAUACCACAUUGUACAUUCUCCUUAAGCUGUAAUAGAAUGGGUUCUACAUAUUUCUUCUAUUUUACUUCAGCUACUAGUGAAGAUUCUACAGCAUUAUGUACAAUAAGCCCCUCAUCUGGAGUUUCAAGAAGGCGAACCCCCACAUUGGCUAGUUGGUGUAGAUCCUUGGUCAUCCCUUUUCAUUCUAUAGACUGCCCAUAAGUGACCACCAUAGACUUACGACUUAAUGCAUCAGCUGCCAUAUUUGUUUUUCCCGGAUGAUACAAGAUAUAACAUCAUAGUCUUUUAAUAACUCAGGCCAUCUCCGUUGCCUUAAAUUUAGGUACUUCUGAUUAAAGAUAUACUGUAAAAUCUUGUGAUCAGUAUAUAUGUCAACAUGAAUUCCAUACAAGUAGUAAUGCCAUAUCUUUAAGGAAAAUAUAACCUCUGUUAACUCCAGAUCAUGCGUUGGAUAAUUUUUCUCUUGUGGCUGUAAUUGUCUUGAGGCAUAUUCUAUGACUUUACCAUGAUCUAUCAAUACAUACCCUAAGCCAAUUCUUGAAGCAUCAAAAUACACUGCAUACCCUUCUAUGCCUUCUAGAAGUACCAAUACGGGUGUAUAAAUCAACUUAUUCUUCAGAUCUUGGAAAUUUCUUUCACAUGCAUCAUUCCAUUGGAACUAGGACUAUUUGUGUGUUAGCUUUGUUAAAGGUGCAGAAAUUGAAGAAAAUCCUUCAACAAACCUUCUAUAAUAACCUGCCAACCCAAGGAAACUACAAACCUCCAUAGGCAUUAUAGGCCUUGGCCAGUUCUUCACGACUUCUAUCUUUUGAGUAUCAACCUUUAUUCCUUCAUUAGAUACAAUACGACCUAAGAAUACCACAGAUUUUAACCAAAACUCACAUUUGGAGAACUUUGCAUAGAGCUUAUAAUCACGAAGAAUUUAUAACACUUAUCAUAAGUGACUGGCAUGUUCCUCAUUUGAUCUCGAAUAAACUAGAAUAUCAUCUAUAAAAACUAUCAUAAACACAUCCAAUAAUGGCUUGAAUACCCUAUUCAUCAAAUCCAUAAAAGCUGCAGGUGCCUUAGUUAGCCCAAAGGACAUGACUAAAAACACGUAAUGACCGUACCGUGUUUGAAAAGUUAUCUUGGGUAUGUCCUUCACUUUGACCCUUAUUUGGUGGUAACCAUACCUCAAAUCAAUCUUUAAAAACCACUUGGUUCCUUGUAACUGAUCAAAUAAGUCAUCGAUUCUCGGAAGGGGAUAUUUGUUCUUAAUAGUCACCUUGUUCAGUUGCCGAUAGUCAAUACACACUCUCAAUGAGCUAUCCUUCUUACGUACAAAUAACACUGGUGCACCCUAAGGGGUCACACUAGGCCUGAUGAAUCCUUUUUCUAAUAAUUCUUUCUAUUACUUUUUUAACUCCCGUAAUUAUGGCAGGGCCAUUCUAUACGAAGGAAUUGAAAUUGGUUGAGUACCUGAAAUCACAUUAAUACCAAACUCUAAUUCUCAUUCUGGAGGCAAACUUGGAAGAUCUUCAGGAAAUACAUCGAGAAAUUCAUUCACUACUGGAAUAAUUUGAAGAGUUGGUGGUUCCACAUCUGUAUUCUUCACCCUAACUAGAUGACAUAUGUAACCCUUGGAAAUAAUCCUUUUUGCCUUAAAAUAAGAAAUAAAUUUGCCUCUUGGUGCACCAAUAUUACCCCUCCAUUCAAGGAUUGCCUCUUUUAGGAAAUGGAAAUACACCUUCUUAGUUCAGCAAUCUACUAUGGCAUAACAAGAAGCUAACCAAUCCAUACCCAUUAUAGCAUCAAAAUCUACCAUUUCUAACUCAACCAGGUCAUUCAUUGUAUCACAACCGUAAAUAGUUAUUAUACCAUUUCAAUACACUCUCCAAGCUAGAAUAGAUUCACCAAUCGGCGUAGAUACUUCAAGUGUCUUAACUAGCAAUUCUGGUAUUUUUUUAACUUUCCAGCAACCAAUGGAGUUACAUAUGAUAAUGUAGGACCCGAAUCAACUAAUGCAGAUACAUCAUGUAAAAGAUGGAUAAUGUACCUAUAACCACAUCUGGAGAAGCCUCUAAAUUUUGUUGAUCUGCUAAAGCAUAUGUAUGAUUCUGAACUCCACUAGAGCUAGCUUCUCCUUUAGCACCUCUACCACAACCCAUAGGUUGUACACCUCUACCAGAAUAAGGCACCGAUGAUGAUGAUACAAUGGCUGAUCCAGUAUGCCAUACGACCUAUACCCCUUUAAGGGCAUUCUCUCAUCAUAUGUCAUAACGUACCAUGCCAAAAGUAAGCAUUUGUCCCAAACCGAUAUGCACCUAAAUAAAUCUUUCCACAUUGUUUACAUAGCGGCUGAGAAGGCCUUAAUUAGGUCAUACUCCCUUGCUCUUGAUACCCCACUGCUCGUGAACUUUGACUCUUACUUCUUUGCCCAAACUGGUUUCCUUUAGACCCUUGUAACUAUGGUAGAACACUAGCUGCAUAAUAAGAAGAUAAUGUCCUAUGCGCUCUAUUAGAAAAUCGAGGCCUAAACUCUUUUUGGGAUGCCAUAAACUGGUUCGUAGAUCUAGACCUCUUCGAAUACCCUCUUUCCAAUUCUUGUGUUCUUUUUCUUUGUCUAUGAUCCUCUAUUUUUUGUGCAAAUGCUUGUAUCCUUGCUAUGUCCAUGUCUUUGUUCAAAGCAGCAAUAGCACAAUCUCUAACUAGAUAUGGAUCUAAUAUAUCCAUAUAUCGAUGAACUCUAUCAUUCAUCGUAGCUACUACAUUAGGAGUAUACCUGGCCAAAGAGUUAAAAUGGAGGUUGUACUCCCUCACGCUCAUAUUCCCUUGGUGAAGAUUCAGUAACUGAUCUGCAAGGGCUUCUUAAAUCUCAAAUGGAAGGUAAUGAUCAAUAAAUGCCCCUUUGAACUCUUUCCAAGUAGCUGAAGGUGUAUCGAUACCCCUAGAUCAUUUAUAGUCUUCAUACCAAAAUAUAGCCUUCCCUUUGAAUCUAUAUGAUGCUAGCUCAACUGUCUCUUUACCUGACACUUGCAUGACAUCUAGAGCCCUUUGAAUUUGAUCAAUAAAGUCUUAUGGGUCUUCAUUAAGAUAUGAUCCAGUGAAUAUGGGAGGAUUCAAUUUAAGAAAAUCCUGCAUUCGUAGGCUAGCUGCCCUAUUUGCACCACUAGAACCUGUGGUUGGAAUGGCUUGUCCUUGAGCUUUUUCAGCAACUAUACAAGCCAAUAAUUGUACCGCAUUCGUUAGAUCUUGGUCAGUAGCAUUAAUAGGUAGUUUUGAGGAUACAGUUCUUCUCCUUCUUAGAUCUUCUGGAGAUGGAAGAGUAGAAGAAGUUUGGGAUUCAAACUCAGAUUGAGCCUCGUUUUGAUUAGCUUGUCUAGGUGGUGAAUUGCUAGUCCCUUCUCCGACAGCCACAUCUAUUCGCUUACCUACAUUCUUACUUCUUCUCAUAACCAGUAUCUUACUAUAAUAAGAGAAAAAAAAAUAGGUUCAAUGGUUAAAUAUGACUUCACCUACAACAUGGGCUCUAUUGCAUGAUCUGAGAUAUAAAGAAAAAGAGACAACCCCAAAAUAUACCAUAACCUCCUAUUUAUAGAUGUGGUGCACAACACACCCAUAAACAAGGCUCUAUAUAGAUGUGGCUUUGUAGGCACCCUAGGACGACCUACUCUGAUACCACUUUUGUCAUGCCUCAAAUCCUAUUGGAGCGGACAGGCACCCGUAGCCGUAAAGGCCCGAGAGAACCAAUUCAUAACCUUGUACUUCUCAUGUAUGUAACUAUGACAACCAAAGGUUCUGACAAAUAGGAUAUUAUGUAUCGAUAAGAAUAAUUACACAGGCAAGCAUAAACUUAUAUAUACAACACUUGGCCGUUGGGGCCACCACGUCUAAAGGCAAGACACUACCAUAACUUUACAUUAGUCUACAAAGCCACUAAAAUAUACAUAGACUUAGUUAGGGUCGGGAUAAACCACUGCCCUACUCUUUACUUACUGUAUAUAGAAAACACUUGGAGAGCCCCGGAUCAACCUGGAGCUCACCAAUAGUCACUGAAUAGCCUACGCUCCUACUAGUGAGGUGUAUGAGUUGAAGUACCUGUGCCUGCAGCAUAAAAUACAGGUCCCCUAUGAGGGACUUCAGUACGAAAAUAUGUAUUGAAUAUGUAAGGCUGAAGGUAACAACACAUGAUACAAGAGCUCAAUAGAAAUCAGAUACAAGUGUAUAAGUAGUACUAGUACACCACCUUUAUAUAUACUUGUGGGACUACAUAUAUUAGGUUCCUUUCUUCAUUUUUACCUUUCUUACUUCAUAAUCUUUGUAAGACAUAUAUAAUGCAAAUGACCAGCUGAUCAGUGAUAAAUAGAUAAAUUAGGAUCGGCCCAUGCUAGGCUAACACCCCUAAGCUGCCACCUACAUAUAAAGAUUGGGAUCAUCUCAUGCUAGGAUUAGCAUGGGCCAAUCUCGAUACCUUUAUUGGGGCCAACCCAUGCUAAGCUUAUGCCCCUGAGCUUCCACUCGUUUUAUAUAUUUACGCUGCUUAGUUUAUUUAGCCUUUGAUAUUGUUACUUUGGUGGUCAUAAUGUUAUGGUAUGUUGAACCAAUAAUCUGCUAAUAAGAGACAUAUAAAUGGACACUUAAUGCAACAACAAUGAGGUAGGGAGCUAUUGGCACACAAAUGAAAUGUUUAGGAGCUGAGUCUUAUUUGAACAAGCGGAGAACUCCUAAAAUUUUCUAGUGAAAAUAGACGUGCAGGUUUAAUAAUAAGUAUGUAUUGAGGUGUUUUAACAUGUUAAAGAGUGAAAAUAAGGUCAUUGGCUACAUGGAAUGUAAUGUGCUGCUAUUAUGUAUCACUUGUUAUAGGAUAACCUUGUAAGCUUACUUGAUAGAACAAAUGUCCGAUUUCAUGUCAAAGAGUGCAAAAUAGAGUAUGCCUUACAUACCUAGUUAUAUAACUCCGAAACUAACCCGACUUGACUUCCCACCUUUUAGAUUACUUAUCUAUAAUAGAAUAUAUGGUAAACUAGCACCAGCAACCAACUAACACAUUUAGGCUACUUAACUUCACUCAAAUAGUAACCAGGUAGUAAGCCAUUAAUCUAUCAAUCAAGGGUGUUAUUUUAACCCUUUUCUCCUCCAAUUAUACCCACAUACUAGACAGGUUCUUAUAAGACUCACCGAAACCACCUCGACUUCAUUACAUAUUCCAAACAAUACUCAAAACAGAUUGGGCAGUAAACAAAUACAACAAUUGGUUUGGUGGUGUACCAUCACACCUUUCUUCUAUAUUUCAUUACAAACUAAUCAUACCUUUCUCCAACAUCAAAAAAUACAUAAAAAAUAGUCCACAAAAUAUCCUCAAAUCCCUUUUAUUGUAGCAAUAAAUUAUUGAACCUAUCAUCUCUUGAGUUCUCAAUGACAACACAUCCAUAAUUCUCUUUCAAAUUUACAUACAAGGAGAACAAAAUGGAGUAGUCACCUUACCUCAAUUCUAUAACUUAUUCUUUUAAUUUGAACUCCUCAAAACUUCAACUUUCACUUUCCUUCACACUUUAAACCAAAUAAGAAAAAAGAUAUCUUAAUAACAAAGAAAAAGUGAGCAAGUAGGUUAUUCUAUAUUCUGCCAUGAAUUUAUAAUUAGGCACCUAUAUCAUGUUUUCCUAAUCUUUCGUGUGAUAAUAAAGUUAAACCAUAAGUGUUUUCACUUACCUUAGGCUGCAAAGGUGAAGGUUUCAUCAAGAACCCUAGAAGGAAUUCUAGGGCUGCUCCUUGUUGUUUUAUAGAGAGUAGAGAGAUUUUGUGAAAUAUACACAUUUUUGUGACUUAGAAAUAAAGUAAAAUGACCAGAAACUUGGCCUUAUAAAGGCCCUAUUUUGUCCACCUCCUUAGCUGCAUUUUGGACCUUAAAAUUGGUCAAAUUGGUCUAAUUAGGUGAUGCACCUACUUAAGGGUUCAAGCUGCUCAAAUUUUCAAAGUAAGUGAUGCACCUACUUACUUAAAUUCUUAUUUUGGGCUCAAUUAACUUGGGCCUUUGGCAUAUUUAUGUGUUGGGCCAUUUAUCCAUUCUCUUUCUCUUUUAUCAAUUUGGCCCCAAAUGAGUACAUUAGUAGAGGACAAAAUCUGUUCCAUAGCCAUGAGUUCAUUAAUUUGGUCUAAAUAGCUUAAGUAGGCAACUCACCUACUAGCUUAAUUAAGUCAAGCAAGUACCUCAAUAUUUUAUUCUAUUUCCAUCUUUUAAUCCCUUUAAUCUAACAUUCAACCUAUACAUACUUGGUCACUUUAAACUCUAGAUUCAAAUACUAGCUUACGAUCCCAAGUUUACAUAGUCGUAUCAAUGUUAACUUGGUCGAAUCAUAUCAAACUGUACGGGAAGCAGCUAUAAUUUCAUCUACACUAUUAACACUUGUAUAAUAAAUCUCAUUUGUUACCUAUACCAUAAGGCUAUACCAAGUUCCACAUAAUUAGAACAAGUACAAACAAAAUAUGGGAUGUUACAUCAGGAGUUGUAGAUCUCCUAUUGGUUGGUUUGAGGUAGGUGAGAGUUUUUUGAUAGGGCCAGAUUCAAUAUUUGAUACGAUGGAGAAAGUUUAGUUAAUCAGGGAGAGGCUUAAGAUAGCCCAAACCCGACAAAAAUCCUAUGCAGAUGUGAGGAGAAAAGAUCUUGAAUUUGAGGUUGGUGACCGGGUCUAUUUGAAAAUCUCUCCCAUGAAGGGAGUGAAAAGAUUUAGAAAAAGGGUGAAGCUUGGUCCCCGAUAUGUUGACCCUUACAGGAUCUUGAGUCGUUAUGGAAAGGUAGCGUAUGAGCUUCAGUUGCCUAUAGAUUUGGCAUCAGUACGUCUAGUGUUCUAUGUUUCCUUGUUGAAGAAGUGUAUUGGUGAUCCAGUUAUAGUAAUUCCUGUAGAAAGCACAGAUGUUUAGGAUAGCCUUUCUUAUGAAGAAAUCACUGUCGAGAUCCUAGAUCAACAAAUUUGCAGACUAAGGAAGAAAGAAGUUCCCUUGGUUAAAGUUCUUUGGCUGAAUCAGUCCAUUAAGGGAGCCACUUAGGAAACAGAAGCAGAUAUGCUAACUAAGUACCCUCGUUUUUCUCUGCAAACUUAUACUCAUCUUAAGGUAAUCGUUUUCCUUAGAUUAUAUCUUUUCCAUUCUUAUUUCCAUCUAUAAAACUAUCUUUAUGACAUUGCAUGCAUUCACGAAUUAGUUCAGUCAUGUACCAUAUUUCAGACUCAGUCAUGUGAUCAUGUUUUCAGUUAUUCUUGUACAGUGUUUGUUCUCAGUUUCCCCAGUAUUCACAGCUAAAUCAGUCUCAUUUAAGGAUGAAUUUUCCCAAGGGGAAGAUAUUAUAAUACCCCAUACUUUUCUUAGUUUAGUUUAGUUCAUAGUGCUUGCAUAAGAGGCUUAGAACUUGAAAAUUUCUCUAAGUAUUGAGGACUUAGUCUUAUUUUUGUACUCUUAACUUCAAAGAUUGUUAAACUGGCCUUCCCGACUCGAGACGUAAGUUUUUGAGUUAAUUCAAGUUUAGGGGUGUAAGAAGCACUCUCAGGGAAGUUUUAAAUUUUUUGGAUGAGAAUUGAGGCACGUUUGGAUUUCGAUUCCAGAACCUCACUGUGAUAGUGUCGCGUCGUGGUGGGUAUAGCGAUGAGCACAUCACCACAUAACGGUGCCCCUCUAAACAGCAUUCCAGUUACUAAUUUAAUCCCUGAGAGUCAAUCAUGUCUUUUCUCCACUGACCCAAUUCGUAAAAACAUGAGAUUAAACUUUAGUUAGGGCAUUAUUUGCCCUAAUUCACCAAAUUACUCUCCGAUACAAACCCCUCUCCUUCUCAAAGUUCAUCAAAUUCAAUCCUCUUCCUUCCAAGAAAACCAAGAAUAUGUGUUUCCCUAUCCAAGAACAUUCAAGAAACCUUUCAAGAUUGUGUUUCCCUUUCAAGUUUAAGGAUCUAAGGUAUGUAAGAUAUUCAUCUGUGCGCCCUUCUACCCAUGGAGUUCACGAAACUAUCUUUAUGAUCUAAAUUAUGAAAUUACAUGUUCAUGUUAAAUUAUCUCCAUAAAGUUUUAUGAAUUUUGGUUUACAUUAUGUUUACAAUUAUUUUUUGAGGGAAUUAGCCCUUACACGUUAGAAUAAUGAUAUUUUCAUGUUGAAUCCUUGAUUCAUGGUUUUUUUGUAUUGAAGUUGUGUUAUUAUUACAUGUUUUAAACCAUUCCCAUGCUUUAAUUCAUGACCCACAUUUGUUUGAUAAAAUGCCUAAGUGUUAAAUUUUGAACAAUGAUUCCCUUCUAUUGUUUCAAAGCUAUUAUGUAUUCCUAUUAUGAUUCCAUUGAGUCCUGGAGGGUUAUGAACACCUGUUACUUAGUUGUUUACAUGGUUUUUAGUAUUUUCAGAAUGGUUUCAGAUAAACCAUGAUCCUUGUCAUUCAGUUAGUAUCAUGUUCAGCUGUUGGCUCUGUUAAGCUCAGUUUAGUCCAGUAGUUAGUUUCAUUCAGUUAGGGAUAGGAUUCAGCAUCGAGUAAACCCAGGGAUGAGGGCAUUCCUUCCAGGUUAGGGUUUGACCUUUAGUAGAAAUUCCUAAGUUACAAAAAUACAUAGCCAGCGUAGGUUGAGAUGUCUUCCUGGAUGUUUAGGGUUCAUACAUAUCUCAUGAGUACUCCUGCCAGAUUAGGGUGACUCUUUAGUCCUUUAGGACACUAAUUUAGUGGAUCUACACAACUAUUGUUAGUAACCGUGGCACAGUACUGACACCCUUUUAACUAGGGUUAUAGGUUGGAUCUCGAUUAGCUCUGAUUAGGGAAAGUCAAUUAGAUGAUACCUCCCACAAUCUCAGUUUAGUAUUCAGUACAGAAUUCACUUAUAGGUUUUCUUGACCAUAGCAUACAUUUAUCAGUUAUUCAGUUAUCAUCUCCGAAUGUUGUAUCCCCAUGUGAUACAGAGGCCAGAGCUUCUUCUUCUUUUCCUAUAGUGACUAAGUGUUCAAGUGGUUCGUGUGUUGACUUUAUAGUGGUGAGCUUCCAUAUGGUGAGCUUCCAUACUUUGAAAGUCAUAUAUUUUAUGGUCUUUCUAUCUUAUGUCAUAGACUUGUUUUAGACUUAGUUUUUGGCUAUUGUUGGGGCAUGUCCCAGCAUAUUAUAGAUGUCAAAUUUGUAGACGCUUUGUGGAAGAUUAUGGGCUUGGGUAUGUUGGCUUAGUAUGUGACAUUAAUGGAUUAAUUAGACACUUCUUAAGUUAUGAUUAUUAGUUUUGUUUUUUCUAUCUUGUUAUAUGUUCGGAGUUUAUCUGAUACUUAUGGAAUAAUGAGAUGGUUGGGUUAGGUUAACGAGGGAAAUCUCUAAUCCUUGUUGGGCUUGAGAUGCCCAUUUCGACAUGGACCUAGUUUGGGCCGUGUCAAAUAGUAUCAAAGCCUAGGUUCAUAGUCAAGUUGGGUGUCCAUAAAGACAUGUCAAGUAGAGUCUCUUUUAUGGGUAUGUAGCAUGCCACACUUAUAAGAGAGAGGCUACAAGACAUUUAGGAAUAUUUUCCUUUCUUGUGGUUUUAUUUUGAGUAAUAUAAUCUAAGGUCUUGGAUCUUUCUAAUUUUUAUCUGCUUACCUUUUAGAUCAUGCCUCCAUAAAGAUCUAAUGUUUAGGCAAACCCUUCUAUCCGGACUGAGGAUAAUAUAGACGGAGCUCAUCCAACUUAUGGAGUCCAGACCCAGUCUAGAGGUCUGAUUCUUGAUAAUCCUGGAGUUCCACCGAUACCCUUUAGUCCUCUUCUAGUUCCUCAAGCUGAUGUAAUAAAUGUUGAGUUUCAUUAAUAGAUUCAUAUGAUUUCUCAGUUGGUGGCUUUUUAGGCUGAGUGUGUUGCAUCUAUUACUUCAUCUUUUGAGGCCAUAAACGUUGGCCAGUUCAUGAGGUUGAGUCCUCCGACCUUUACCGAUGUUAAGGUGGAGGAGGAUCCUCAAGGUUUUCUGGAUGAGAUAAAAAAGAUUUUUAAAGUUAUAAAUGCCACUAAUGUGGAAGGAGUGGAAUUUGCAACCUAUCAACUGAAGGAUAUGGUGUACCAAUGGUACGAAGAAUGGGAUCAGGAAAGGGGUGAUAUUGAUGAGUCAUCUUUAUGGAAGGAUUUCGCUGAUUCAUUUCUGGACCACUUUUUUCCUCAAGAGUUGAGGGAAACAAAGACGGAGGAGUUUAUUAAUUUGAGGCAAGGAAAGAUACCAGUCAAGGAGGGUGUCUUGGAGUUUCAUCAAUUAUCUUGGUAUGCUUUGUAGAUGGUUUCUAGAAUGUGGGCUAGAAGGCAUAAGUUUGCUUCGGGACUAUCUCGUGAGUUGGUCCUUGAGAGUAAGGUGGCUUUGUUGAUCAAAGAUAUGGACAUCUCAAGAUUGGUUAUGCAUAUGCAAUAAGUGAAGAAAGAUAAAAACAAAAAAGUUGAGAUUGAUGUGAGGUAAAGCAAGAGGUCUUAAUUUUUUAAACAAAGUGGAGGCCAAUAAUUUAGUGGUAAGUGGUCUAAGAGAAAGAAUUGGGUGAGUCCCAACUUAUAUUUUACAGCUAGUUCUUCCUACUCGAGGCCGUCAAAAGAUAGACGUUUUCAGAGUGGUAAUGAUUUUAGGGCACAAAGUACCAAGUCUCAGGAAAAUGGGCCAAAUAAGCACUAACCAACCCUCUUUUUAGGUUCUGUGGUGAGUAUCAUUAUGGACAGUGUGAGAAGGAGAGGAAUGGAUGUUUUAGAUAUGGUCAGAUUGGGCACAUAUAGCAAGAGUGCCCCUCUAUAGCGGCUUAUUAGGCUAAUAUGGCCCCUAUUGCUACUUCAUCUUCUCUCAUGCUGAAGGGUGUUGUAUCUGCUUCUGCUUCUAUUUUUCUUAUCGGCAUUAGCCGGAAUCAAUUAUAUACAUUUCCUACUCACUAGGAGUAUGAGGUAUCUCCAGAUGUUGUUACGGGUAUGUUGAAACUUUUCUCCCAUGAUGUGUAUUAUUUACUUAAUACAGGGUCCUCUCUCUCUCAUGUGACCUCAUUGUGGUUGUGCAUUUUGAUUUUGGUCAUGAGUAUCUAUCGGUUCCUUUUUUAUUUCUACCCCAGUAGGAGAUUCUGUGGUUGUUAAAAGAGUCUAUAGAGGGUGUGUGGUAUCUGUUAGUAGUAGAGAAACUCUUAUAGACUUAAUAGAGUUUGACAUGGUUGAUUUUGAUAUUAUUCUGGGGAUGGAUUAGUUGCAUUUAUGCUAUGCUUCCUUAGAUUUUUGGACUCGUAAGGUCAUGCUUAAAUUCCCUAAUGAGCCAUUCAUUGUAUGGGAAAGGGGUUCUUUAGUGCCUAAGGGGAGGUUCAUCUCACAUGUAAAAGCCCAAAAGUUGAUUUCAAAAGGUGUUUGUAUCAUUUGGUCAGAGUUAAAGAUUCUAACUCGGAAGGUCCUUCUCUAGAAUUCGGCCCUGUGGUUAAUGAGUAUCUCAAGGUUUUUCCUGAUGACCUUCUUGGUAUUUCUCCCGAUAGGGAAAUUGAUUUUGGGAUUGAUCUUGUUCUGAACACUCAUCCUAUUUCCAUCCCUUCAUAUAGAAUGGCUCCGAUCGAGUUGAAGGAGCUCAAGGAGCAAUCAAAGGAUCUCUUAGAUAAAGGUUUUCUCCAUCCUAAUAUGUCUCCUUGGGGUGCCCCCAUGUUGUUUGUGCGUAAAAAGGAUAGUUUCCUUUGAAUGUGCAUUUAUUAUAGUCAGUUAAAAAAAGUGACCAUAAAGAAUAAGUAUCCUCUUCCUAGGAUCGAUGAUUUGUUUGAUUAACUCCAAGGUGCAAAAUAUUUCUCUAAGAUUGAUCUUAGGUUGGGUUAUCAUCAGCUUAAGAUAAUAAAGGUGGAUAUCUCGAAGACUGCCUUUAGGACCUGAUAUGGUCACUAUGAAUUCCUACUAUGUCUUUUGGGUUGACCAAUGCCCCAAUGUCAUUCAUGGAUUUGAUGAAUAGGGUCUUUCGUCUAUUUCUGGAUUUAUUUGUCAUUGUCUUCAUUGAUGACAUCUUGGUCUACUUUAAAAGUGAGGCAGAUCAUGUUGAUCAUUAUCGUGUUAUGUUGUAAACCUUGAAGGAUUAUCAUUUGUAUGUCAAGUUCUCAAAGUGUGAGUUUUGGUUGAAGUCUGUGACUUUCCUUGGUAGUGUUAUCUCUAGUGAAGGGAUCAUGGUGGAUCCACAAAAGGUUGCGGUGGUGAAGAAAUGUCCUAGACCCACGACUCCAAUCAAUAUUCGAAGCUUCUUUGGUAUAGCCGGUUACUAUAGGAUAUUUGUGGAAAGUUUUUCAACUAUAGUUUCCCCAUUGACUAAGUUGACCCAAAAGAAGGUCAAGUUUUUAUGGGCGGAUACGUGUGAGAAUAGUUUUGAGAAGUUGAAGAAUAAAUUAACUUUGACUUCAGUUUUGAUCUUGCCCGAUGUUAAUGAUAGUUUUAGUGUAUUGUGAUGCUUCUUGUAUUAGGCUUAGUUGUGUAUUGAUGCAGCAUGGUAGGGUGGUGGCCUAUGCUUCUAGGCAAUUAAAAGUUCACGAGAAGAACUACCUCACUCAUGACUUAGAGUUAUUAGCCGUUGUAUUUGCAUUGAAGAUUUGGCGACACUACCUCGAUGGGGUUUAUGUUGACAUCUUUUCUGAUCAUAAGAUCCUUUAGUAUGUGUUUACUCAGAAGGAGUUGAAGCUCAAAAAAAUGAGAUGGCUUGAGUUACUAAAGGACUACGAUAUAAGUCUCCAUUACCAUCCAGGGAAAGAUAAAAUAGUUGUUGAUUCUCUUAAAAGGUUAUCCAUGGGGAUUUUAGCUCAUGUAGAUAAGGAUAAGCGGGAGUUGGUAAACGACAUUCACUGUUUAGCUAAUCUUGGAGUUCGUCUCACGGACUCUGAGGAUAGUGGUGUAUAUGUGCAUUAGGUAUCACAGUCAUCUUUUGUGGUUGAGAUAAAUGAAAAGAAAAUGUUAGAUCCCAAUUUGAUGAAGAUUAAGAUUAAUGUGGGUCAACAAAAGGUUGUUGAUUUUGCGAUUGGUGGUGAUAGUAUCUUGAGGUACCAAGGUAGGUUAUGUGUUCUCGAUGUCGAUGGAUUGAGGGAAUGGAUUAUGGCCAAGGCUUAUGGAUAUCGUUAUGUUAUUCAUCCUGGUUCUACGAAGAUGUAUCAUGAUUCUAUUAGUGGAAUAAUAUGAAACGAGAUAUGGCUAGCUUUUUGGCUAAACAUAUAGUGUGUCAACAAGUUAAAGUUGAACAGAUGUGACCCGGAGUUUUGUACCAAGAGAUUGAGUUUCUUGAAUAAAAGUGGGAGGUAAUCAAUAUGGAUUUCAUCACCAUUCUUCCCCGGUCUUAGAACCAACGUGAUUCUAUUUGGGUCAUUAUGGAUAGGAUGAUCAAGUCCGCUCACUUCUUAUCGGUGAGAACUAGUUAUAUGGUGGAUGAUUAUGCUAAGUUGUAUCUUGCAGAGAUUGUGAAGUUGCACGGUACUCUAAUUUCUAUCAUCUUGGAUCGUGGUACUCCUUUUUCAUCAUGGUGCUCUAGUUUCUAUCAUCUCGGAUCAUAGUACUCCAUUUUCAUCUCAUUUUUGGAGGUCAUUCCAGAAAGGUUUGGGGACUAAGGUGCGCUUUAGUUCCAUUUUCCACCCACAGAUGGAUGGACAAGCGAAGAUGGUCAUUCAAACAUUAGAGGAUAUGUUGCGUGCGUAUGUGAUUAAUUAUAAUGGUAGUCGGUAUGACUAUUUAACUUUGAUUGAAUUGGCCUAUCACAAUAGUAACCACUCUAGCAUUGGUAUGGCUCCUUUUGAGGUGUUGUAUAGUAGGAGGUGUCGUUCUCCUAUUGGGUGGUAUGAAGUUCGUGAGGGUAAGUUUCUUGGCCCUAAUUUGGUUCACCAAGCCUUGGAGAAGAUGAAGGUGAUUCGUGAUAGGUUGAAAGUUAUUCAAAGUCUCCAAAAGUCCUAUGCGAGUGUAAGUGUGAGUGUGAAACAUCUUGGCUUUGGUCCCUUAGAAAAUUGCAUAGUUGGAGAUCCUGGACAACAUACGACAAGAAGGUACUAGUCGUAUGUUUGGGUAUGGAUUAGGGUCCCUCUCUCGUAUGUUAGUCAGUGUGUUUGGGUUGGUUUGUAUCCAAGAUAUGACUAAGCAUCAUACUAGUCAUAUGGUUGGAUACAAGGUGUAUGAUGCCAAGUCGUAUGAUACCCAAAGUUUGGUCUAGGUGAUUCUGAUCAAGGUACGAUUCCCAUGGUACUUUUCGUAUGUGUUGACACCCAAUUUUGACCUCCAGACACUCCUUUUUAGGCUGCUAUUUUAUUUAAUUAUUAAUAUUUUUGUACACAUUAUUCUUAUAUUUAAUACAUUUUGACAUGUCACAUUCAUAAUUUUUAAAAAUACAUAAAUUAUUUUAUUAUCUUUUAGUAGCAUUUUUAUAAUUUUUUAACUCAAAUACGACAUUUUUAAACUGAGCAUAUCCGCAUUUUCUGCAAAUACAUUAUCUAGUCUUCCAUUAUUUGGCAUUAUAUAUUUUAUUUAGUAUUUAUUAAUUAUUAUUAUUAUUAUUAUUAUUUAUUAUUAUUAUUAUUAUUUAUCAUUUAUUAUUACUAUUAUAUAUUAUUUAUUAUUAUUAUUAUUAUUCCUAUUAUAUAUUUAAAUAAUAGCCUAAGUAAAGCCACUUUGCCUAAUUUAUUUACUUUUUAACCUAUUUUUUACCAAUUUCGUGCAAUCUUAGCCUAUUUUAUCUAACCUCUUGCAAUUUUAGCUUAUCUUAUUACAAUCUGAGCCUAAUUCCUUACAAUCCUAGUCACAUUCUCGCUCCACAUAAUCUUAAAUCCCAGUCGUCGAUAAAAAUUGAUCUAACGACUGAGAUUUGAUCUGACUCCUUCCCUUUUUUAAAACCAACAAAACCUAAACCAAAACACUAAUUCCCAAAAGAGCCACCCCCUCUCUCUCUACCUCUCGUCUCUCUCCAUUUUUUCCCUGAAAACCCUCCACCACGAGCGUCAUACCACCAAUGGAAACAACGAUAACGGCCAGUCUCCCUCUGUCCACUGCUCCUUUCCCUUUCCUCCCUCCUCUCCGGCGACCAACAGCCGCUCCAACCAGCUCCAGCCGGCGAAGACCCACCGAGAAGCCGCCUCCAUCCAUGGCUGCCGUCGCCCCUCCUUGAUCUCCGCGCCAUCCACGAUCGCCUCUCCGAUGAAUCUCCAAAUGCCACUGCUCCGACCAGCGCCGUGAACUAACCAUCCGGCGCCAGCUUUCUUCAUUCUCAAUAUCGCCACCACACUAGUCAUGCAGCCGAAAAAAUUGGCCAACCAGCACCAUAAACAAACGGUAGAAAACAAAAACAUUAUGACAAAACCCGUCUCGGAUUUAUUGUUCCUUUUAAUUUUUCUUCCUCUACCCUUUUUUUUCUUUGACUGGUUCUGUUAGGUUUAAAAAUGAUUAAGCUUGAGUAUGAAUUUUAAGUCAAAUCAUCCGAACUAGUGUAUGUUUAUGUGUUUAGAACGGUCAUAUGCAAAAAUCCCCAAAUUUCAUUGAUUUGAACUGACCCUAUAUUUCUUUAAGAUUGUGACUAAUUUGCUAUCCUAUUUGCUGGACUGAUAUGCUAAGUAUGAUAUUCCCCAAAUCUUCCCAUAUUGCGAGUCGUUAUUCAUGACUGUCCCGUGAGCUAACCCUCUUAUUUGAGCCUUAAUGAUUUUUGAGUUUGAUCCCUUUGAUUACUGCCUACUUAAGCAUUAUAGUGGGAUUUCAACAAAAUCAUUGGUAUUUGAUUGACAUGUUGGAUAACAUAUUUUGGGUAAACUCGGACCCCUCUUUUGACACGGUUUGAGUAGGGAGUAUUAUAAGUGCUCAUUGAAUUAAUAUUUAUGAUAAAUACCAACCUUGACAUAUUUUCUACUAUUAUUACUUAUUCCCUCUUAAAUUAGUGCUUUUCUUGUACUCACCUAUUCAUGAUAAAUUUGAUUUUAGUUGAUUUCUACCUACCUAACUAAAGAAAGUAUAUUCGUUGAUUGAUUUCUCUAAAAGCAUGCUUCUUUUAUUGUGGAAUUAUUUGUGAAUAGUUAGUUGAUUUAUUGGCCCCUUAAUGGACUCUGAUGAUUUAAAAAAAAUAGUUUUUUUCCUUUUACCCGUUUUCGACCCCCCAAUUAACUUGAUGUAACUCCCUCUUGUUCUCCUUGAUUAAAUGGGAUUGAUUUUUUAAUAUUGCUUUUUCUUAUUUUAAUUGGCUAAUUGGACCUUAACUGACAAUACCCUCUCACUAUAGAAACACCUAUUCUUUUCAAUUAAGAGACAGUUCACAAGUUCUACAAUACUAUAAUUAUAUUACUCUCUUAAAACAAAAAAAUCAUUGGCUAUUUCUAUACAAAAGCAAUUAGAUACUUUGAGGUUCCUUUGACUUUUCUUCGAGGCUUAUGGAAACAUCUUGUAUAUUUUGCUGUGCUUGGCGUUCUUUUAUUCUUAUUAUCACCUGUUAUUGCUGCUCACCGGUGAGUUUCAAAUCGAUGUAGUAUUUUUCAUUAUGUGAGUUGAUUAUAUCAUGCCAUGAAAAACAUAGAAAGCAUGUGUAUAGGGAUAAUUAGAAACGAUAAUGUUGUGCUUGCUUACUGUACCUUUGCUCCGAUGCCUGUGCUUUAUUCGUGCCUUUGUUUGGACAACAUGUUGGUAUAUCUCUUUGUGCUUGGCAUGCUACUUUGUUGUGUUUAACAGGUUUGGGACUUGAACAGUCGUCGGGAUGUUUAAAUGGGCAAUGUCAUUCUUUAGAAUUGGUGGUUAUUAUUUUAUGACUUUUCUUUUUAUUUACCUAUUUAUUUGGGUUUGUAAUAUUUCUGUAUAAACACUAUUAUUAUUGUAUAAUAAUUUUGGGUGACUGCCUUGGGGGCGGGGAUUUACGUGCUCUAUGAACAGUAUAGGUAGGCACAACUUAGGGUUAUGUGCAAUAUGUGUUACAUGAAUCAUUUAGGUACAAAAUUAGGAUUUAUUAACAUAUGAAUCAUUUUCUAUGGUUUAUUAAUUAUUCUCAAUCUAACUAAAAUCGACACACCAUAUUAAUUGAUAUUGAGCAUAUUAAUUUAACAUUAGGCAUGUUAACAUAUUUUAGCAUGUUAAGCAUAUUGACUUGAAUCUAAGUAUGUUAGUAUGAAUUCCGAGCACGUUAAUCCGUAGAUCAUGCUAACUUGAAAUUCCCAUGCAUUAACACACGUUUCAGCAUGUUUUAGAUAAUAAUUUUCUACAGUUUUAUCCAGUCAAGUAAGGGUCAAGUAAGUCAUUGCAUUUUUAGCAUGCCAAUACACUUCAACAUGUUAACUUGAUAGUUUUGACAUACUUUCAGCAUGUGUUAACAUUAAACAUGUAUUUUUAAAGGCAUUCAGCAUGUUAACAUUGAAUUUCAGCAUAUACAUUAAUGUCCAGCAUGUUAAAAUACUAAUUUUCUAAUUUUCAGCAUGCUUAAUAAUAUUUUCAAUAUGUUUAGUAAUAUUUCACCUGUUAAAACUAAAUUUCAGCAUGUUUAAUAUAAUUUUUAGUAUUUUAACACAACUUUCAACAUGUUAGCAUAAUUUCCUGCAUUAUCUUCAGCAUGUUAGCAUAAUUUCCUGCACUAUUUCACCAUAUUGGCAUAAUUUCCUGCACUACUUUUAGCACGUUAAAUGUAGAUUUGAGGCAUUCUCAACAUGUUAAACACUAGUUUAAGUACAUCAUUGCAUCAUGCAAUAGUUCAUAACACUCAAUUCAUGAGCACAAUCUCUUACACAUUUACCGCACUUUCACAUUCCUUUUUAAUCACUCACGAUACAUUAUUGCAUAUGCACGAAUCACAGUUGUCUUUUUUCACACUAAUGAUUGUUGGACACUUAGUAUCAUGACUAUAGGUUAACGAUAUAAUAAUAAUUACUUGUCUUCGCAUGUUGUCACAUUAAUUAAUAUUAAUUAAUCAAGAGGCUAACUUGGGAUUAUUAUGUGCUACUUGUUGUCCAAUUUAUUACGCGCUUCGAGUCCCAGGAAACCUAGCUUUAUUUUCGUCUAGAACACAAAUCCAAAAUAUCAAAGUCCAAUGCCUCUUGGACGAUAAAUGGGACGAUAAGUAUUGCUAAAAGACGUUAGUUUUAUCCUUGUCAUAGAACGCUCUUAGACAUGACAUCCAGACUAGGUGUGGUGGGACAGGUAGUCAUUCGAAAGUGAUCACCCCAAUGGAUAUUAACGGUGAGGCUAAUGACAUUAUUACUUGUCUAAGAGUUCGGCCCUUGGGUCGGAUGAUGAUUAAACAAAUUGGGGUUCUGAUCCAAAUGAGACCAAGACAUUUCUUUGUUUGACUUGGAUGAUUUUUUUUUAGUCUUUUUAUUUACUUUACAUGUUUAUUUUGGGGUAGUUUGUUAUUACAUAAGUAGUUCCCAUUAUUAUAAUUAUUUUCCUUCUUUCUUCUCACUUAUCUUAUUUAUAUAUUCUAUCACUUAGACGAUUAAUAGAUAAAAUAAACGUUUGUUAAUUACUUUAUCGCUUAGCUAAAUGUUAUAUUAUUAAUAAAAUAAGAGACUUUAUUUGAUCACAUAGAAUCCCCACAUAAAGUAUGAACUCGGCCGGGAACCAUCUUUGUGGACCUCGAAAGGUGCCUAACACCUUCCUUUUGAGGUAAUUUGAACCCUUACCCAAACUCUGGUGAACAAAAACUAAAUAAUAAAAUAGUUUCGUAGUAGCUUAAACCGGUGCCCUAACGCACCUUAAUACGUUAGGUGGGUCUCUUCACACUCUAUCUUUUAAACAAUCCCAAAAAAAAGUGGCCACGUUGAAUUCAAUUUUUCACGAGGAAAAUGGAGUGCGACAGAAUGGCGACUCUGCAGGGGAUAUUAGGUUCUAACCAUUAUGAAUUUUUCCUUUAUGUGGAAUUCUCUCUAUGUGUUUUUAUGUUUGUAUAAUAUUGUUUACUUUUGACAUGAUGAUUUAAUUUCAAUAUGUUCUCCUUUUAUUGUUUAUUUACAUCAUGUGUUAUUAGUCUCUUCCUGUUUUACCUUUUUAUGUGUAUUUCAUAUGACUCCAUUUCUAUUCCUUUACCUUUUUCCCCUGUUAUUGCGUAUGUUUUAUCAUGCUUAUUCAUUUGUAUAUUGCCUAGCAUGUCGUUUUUAUUAUGUGCAAUGUGUUACUGCAUUAUAUAACUGGCAUUCCGCUCAUACUAUCAUCCACUUGGAAACCUCUUUUAUUUUCUCUUUAAGAACGGUUGCGUGGUUGCACGGACGUUCUACCUUAAAACACCCUUAGGGAAGUGCCUUGUGGAUCGAUCGAUCAGCGGUGCAUUAACAGCCACAAGCUUUCCCCCUCUCAAGUUGUCCACUUGGGGAAACCGUGUUAAAACCACUCUUAUUCUUAAAACUUAACUGUUUAUCCCUUUACUAAGGAAUAAACAUUCUCAAAAACAUAAGAUGUCAUGUUAGAAAAUCUAGCCCUAAGUUCUAAGGGAUCCCACGAUACCGAAAAGAACGCCUCACUAUUUACGUGCAUUUUGAGAGAUAAUUAUGCUAAAAUAAUGUCAUUUACUCUUUGGGGGGGUAGGGUAGACUAACACUUUAUUUUGCAGAUUUAAUGGCCCUUCCAACCUCAUACCCGAGAUUUGGCAUGGUUUGGUGCAUGUCGCCUCACAUGAAACAUUGGUGGAUAGACUUGGGAUAUUAUGGAAAAAGUGUGGUAGAAAAGGCAUUGGGUAGUCUGCCCUCCCUCAUGAACAUCAAUCCUUGUAGAGAACUUAUUGAGGCUGCUACUGUAUUCUGGGAUAAAACGAGAUCAGUAUUCAGGUUUGGUGAUGUGGGAAUGACCCCACUUCUAGAAGAAAUUGGAGGAUACAUAGAAAACAAGAUGUUUCCAAAAUCAAUGAGAUGGCAACAGGCUGAGGUUAUCAUCCCCAAAAGUGUCACUCUAAAAGAAGCGAACAACAAAUUGGGUCUCCAUGGUAGUCGACUAGUAGCAUAUGUGAUGAGGUCAAAAAUGCCUUCUUGUUACUUGGCCAAUAGAUUCGCCUAUAAGAAAGGGAAAGAAAUAUAUGUAGCAGAAGGUUCUGACCCUGACUCUUGGGAAGAUAAACGAAAAUUUACAUUCAUCGUUUACUUCCUAGGAACAAUGGUCUUUCCAAUCAAAGCAAAAGAAGUAGUGCACACUCGUCUGAUCACCAUAGCAGAUGCCUUAUGCAAUGGGAUUAAAAAAAGGGUCUUGUACAAUUGUACCCAUGAUAGUGGCAAAUAUUUAUCGGUCCCUUGGAUGUUGCAAAAACGGCGCCAAACAUUUUGAAGGGUGCAUUUUGUUACUGCAGUUGUGGUUGAUUGAGCAUCUUCAGAAAAUCCAUGGGGUACAAAGCAUUCCUAGAUCAUUUGGAAUCGACAACAUCUUUUCCCAUGAUACCCGAGUCAUGUUGGGAGUAAAAAGGAUUAAGCGGCCAGACGAGUCAGAGAAGUGGGGACGAAUGUUGGGGACUUUGAUUGAGGAUUCCAUCCAAUGGAUGUUUGAAUGGUUCCCGAGCAUGAAUUUCGUGAUUUCUACUCAACAAUAGGAACCCUUGAUUCUAAUGGGACUUCAUGACCUGCAACCAUACUUUCCUAAUAGAGUAAUAAGACAAGUAGGGAAGCAACAAUCUAUUCCACGAGUUACUAACAUGGAGGCAUACAAAGUCGACUACAAAGAUGAUAAAAUUCCAAAUGGCAAUGACAUUGCUAAGACUUGGGGUAAAAAGACUCGUCUAGACAGGGAGAGCAUCGUACUAGAUCGAUGCAAUUUAGGCUAUACAGUAGGUUACAUUAAUUGGUUACAUGCUGAUUGGAAGAACAAAGUGACUCAGGGCAUCAAAAGGGGUAGACAUAUCAGUGACAAAGAGGCUGAAGUACAAACCCUCUACCGCAAGUUCAAGAAAAGGACUCUGGAAUAUGAAGCUUGCAACCGCCACAUUAUUGCAGAGAAUGCCAAAAAAAUUACCAACAUGGGGAAACAACUGGAAUUUUGGAAUCACCGUGCUCUGACAAUGGAAAGGAAAGUGCAAGAACUUCGAGAUGAAUUCGACAAGAAAGGGCAAGAGUGCGCCAAUAUGGGGAACAUAGGAGAGAAAGUGGAAUUAUCUUAUCUCUUUACAAGCCGCCACCGCUUUGACAAGGCCCUAGAAGAUGACAAGAAGGAGCAAGAAGAGAACAUAUUUAGGAUUUAGUUUAGCAUUUUUCUUGUAUUUUUUUUUCACAAUGUUAAAACAAUUUGAAUGAAAUAAAGUUUAUUUUCUUUUGGGGUUUUAUCUUUGAGCAAAUGGCAUUAUUCUAUGGCCUAAUUAUCUUUCAAACAAUGAUAGGCCUACCUCUGGCUUAAAAGAGGCUUCAUCAUAGGACACGUCAAACAAUGUGCUAUGUGUUAAUCUAGUUCAUUCUUUUAUCACUAACGUACUAAAUUCUUCUCCUUUGAUGUUUUGUUUCCCCUUCCUAUAGGUUGAUUUGUGCAAUCUGGCCUAUCUUACUAGAUCAAAAGGGGUUCCUCCUUCUCCUCCUCUUUUACCUACAAGUUCCAGAGGAUAAAAAAAAUGGGUGAUCGUCACAUCAUUGGAGAAAAAGAGGGUAUUAGUUCAGAAGGGGAUAGUAUCAUUGGUUAGAAAUAAAUGAUGAUGAAAAUGGAACAGAGAAUACUGGAAUUACAAGCAGAAUUGGUGCAAGUGUGCAACCUAGCUAAGCUUUCCAUCAACCUGAACACUCUGAAAUUAAAAGCUAAUAGCUUUGCCAUCCCAAAAUCCCAAGCUCCUUCCGACCAUCCAAUGCCUCAUAUCCAGCCCCAAAAUCUUACCAAUGUCCAAAAUAUCCAGAGUGCCACAGCUCUUUUAUUUAUUUCUACCUAAGAACCAAAAACUCCACUAAUCCUUCUCUGAAAAAGCCUCCACAUCUAAACAUAUACCACCACCCCGUAUCCGGAAGACAUAAUCUAAACCCCAUCUAUGUUGAAAUAUUUCCACUCAACUAUCCUCAACCCAUAUUCGAGAACCUAGAGAAUGAUUAUAUGAUGCAGGCUGUAGUUGAAAGGUUGAAACAUUUGGAAGGAAACAAGGGUAUGAAGGGUCUUAAUUAUGAAAACUUGUGCGUCUACCCAGAUGUAGAGCUGCUAGAGAGGUACAAACCUCCCAAGUUUGAAUUAUACAAUAAAACUGGAGAUGCUAAAGUGCAUCUGCGUGUGUACUGUGACAAACUUGCGGGUGUAGGAAAGAAUGAGAAAAUUCGGAUGAAACUAUUUAUGAGAAGCCUCACGAGGAAGGCUCUCACAUGGUACAUUGAGCAGGAUGUAAAGAAAUGGGCAGGCUGGAUUGACCUGGCGUCUAGCUUCGUCAAUCGCUUUGGGUACAAUAUUGAUAAUGCUCUGAGUUGGACUUAUAUGCAGGAGAUAAGGAAGAAGCCUAAUGAAUCCUUCUGUGGGUACGCCAUGAGAUAGAGGGCCGAGGCUGCGAGAGCUCAGCCUCCAAUUGAGUAGCAACAAAUGAAGGAAUAUUUUGUCAAGGAGCAAAAGCCAAAGUACCUCGACAAGCUAAUAACAGGCACAAAAAAAAGUUUCUCCAAAAUCAUCAGAAUAGGAGAAAUGUUCAAUGAGUGUCUUAAGAAUGGUAGCAUUAUCCGCUUAAACACUCAAUCUACAAGAGUAACGGAAAAUAAGAAGAAGAAGGAGAUAGGAUCAGUAAUGGCAGCCCAACCUUCUGAUAUUGUCCCAAGCCAUGAAUACCAUAAACACCAUAUACGACCUCCUCCUACCCACCAUAACCUCGAAUUCUAUAUCAAGCCCCACUAUAUCAAAUGCUUUUUCCUUACCAAAUGCCUCCACAAUUCUCAAGUCCCCAUUAUCUCGUAUAUAAUACCCAACCCAUCCAAGUCCAAACAACCCGACCUACUCAUACUCCUACUGCAAAGACUGUUGAUCCUAAAUCCAAAGGCAUCUUUGAAAGAAGGCAGUAUACGCCUUUAGCCAAACCCCUGGUUUAAUUAUAUGAAUGACUCAAAAAAGCUAGCCAUAUUGCACCGAUUCUCGCCAUGUAAGCUGAUACCAAAUCUACGUGGUAUCAACAUAAUUAGACAUGUGCCUACCACCCUGGCAUAAGAAAACAUCCUAUAGAGGCGUGUUUUACCUUGAAAAAUAAAAUUCAACAACUGAUCGAUACCAAGGUAAUUCAGUUAAAAGACCCAGAUCCCAACAUCACAAUAAUUCUCUCUCUGCUCAUGAGGUAAAUAUGCUCGAGACUGAUGAAAAUGUAGACUUAGAGCAUUCUAUCUGGGCUAUUGAGGAAGGAAACAGAACUCCUACCAUAGUACGGAAGCAGGCUCCCUUUGAGGUCAAGGUUGUCAUGCCUAAAGCCCCCUUCACUAUUGUGAGAGCUACCCCAGCUGUAUGCAAUUCUCAUGCAGUUCCAUGGAAUUAUGCCCUAAACAUUCCAAGGAAAGCAAAGGUAGCCGAGACAGACAUUGCGCAAGGUAUCCCCAGAUCAGGCAUAAUAUACACUCUUGAAAACCUGCUUCAAAGAAGUUCUAGCAAAGGAAAGCAACCUGCCAUCGGGGUUGAAGAAGAUGGUAUCUGGAAGAAGGUAAAAGCCAAAAAGUAUUCUGUGGCCGAGGAGCUGAGUAAGACUCCGACAUAAAUUUCAAUAUUGACAUUGCUCCAGACUUCUGAGAAUUACCAAAGGGCUUUGAUGAGGGUCUUAGGUGAAGCUUAUGUACUGGCUACCAUAACAGGCAGAGAGAUGGCCCAUAUGGUAGGGCAAGUGUUCGAGGCUUAUGAAAUAUCAUUUCAUGAUGAUAAAUUACCUUCCGAAGGAAGAGCACACAAUCGGGCUCUAUAUAUCACACUGCAGUAUGAGGGGAGAAUGAUAUCCCAUAUGCUGAUUGAUCUAGGCUCGGGAUUAAAUAUUUUCCCUUUAAAUACGUUAACCAAAUUGGAGGUCGAUAUGUCCAAGGUGCAGACUUGGAAACUGAACGUGAAGGGGUUUGAUGGCUCCCAAAGGGGCACAAUAGGGGAAAUCACAUUGGACAUAGUGAUGGGUACAGUCCCUUUCUCUAUACCCUUCCAAGUAAUGGAUAUCCCUACCUCUUAAAACUUGUUGCUCGGACGUUUGUGGCUUCAUGCGACUAGCGUCGUAUCCUCUACCCUUUAUCUAUGCCUUAAGUUUGAAUAUGACCACCAAGAGGUUGUGAUACAUAAAGAGAAAGGGCAUCCUAUAUAUGUCGUUGAAGAAAAAGAAGACCUUGACGGAGAAAUAUUUCAUACCCUUGAGUUGGUGGGGAGCAUUGAAGGAGGGUCGUACAAUGAUGCAUUGUUUGUCACCGUAUAAUGUGAAGGAAGGGAAAUUUCAUGCCUACUGAUUGAUCCAGGUUUUGGGGUAAACAUUUUUCCUCUGGCUACCUUGAUGAGUUUUGAAAUUGACAUGGCCAGAAUCCAAUCCCGAGUAAGGGUCAUAAGGGCAUAUGAUGUCUCUCGGUGAAACACUAUUAGGGAAAUCAUGCUGAAUAUCACACUGGGCCCCGCCACAUUCUCCAUACUCUUUCAGGUGAUGGAUAUUCCCAUCUUAUACAAUUUUUUGCUUGGGUAACCUUGGAUCCACAUGCCUGGUGCAGUCCCAUCCACCUUACACCGAUAUGUUCAAAUUGAGUACUUUUAACAAGAGGUAUUGAUAUGGGGUGAAGGAGGAAAAGGAGGGCUCAACGCUUUGUAAUGGAUCGAGAAUAUUGAAUAAGAUACAAUAAGUUGUAUGCAAUUUCAGAAACCCCUGAACGCUUUGGAUUACAUGCGUUGGUUUGGAUACGAAGAGGACAAAGUUCUUCAUACCAGAUUGCAAUGACUAAUUGAUCCUUUAGUGUUUGAAGAAAAGGAAUACAAUUGUGGGCUGGGCUAUGCGGUUAAUGAAGAGGCAGACAAAGGCGGAAAUGUACCUGACCCUGCAUUAUCAUUGUACCAAAUCUUUCAUUCAAUAGGAUUUCUCAAAAAUGAUGAAGUUAAUGAAAUAAUAGAGAUGCUAAAAAGGCUCACUCUGCCUGAGGACAUCACCUUUCUUAUGAAGACCAAGAUGAGUUUGAAACCGAGGAGGCAGACAUGAUUGAGAAUAAAAUCGUAGAGGUAGACAUGACUUGGAUGGACAUAGGUGGAAAGUUGCUGAAAAGGUAUGAGCCAGGUAAAGGUUUGGGGGCAAAACUGCAAGGAAUUAUUGAGCCCAUACAGGUGCAUCUUAAGAUGGAAACCUUCGGUCUGGGGUACCAAUGCACAAUGAAAGAUCACCUCGACUGGGAGCCAUCUAUGAAGGGCUACUACUACCCUCUACCCAAGCCUCUACCUGCACUACAUGAGAUAUUCCAUUCUACUGGUUUUCUGAAUAAUGACGAAGAAGAUAUUUUGGAAAGUUUAAGGCUUUUUUCUGACCGAGGAAGACGGUUGCCAUAUUAUUAUUAGUAAGGAAGGAGGAGCCCCUAGCCCGAUCCAUGAACAAAAAGUCGCCGUCAGUAGCUGGACAGUCACCCUCUCCAGCCCCGCCGAGCACUUGGGUAGACAUAAUAGAAGUUUGAAUGUUUAUUUUUGCAUUUCUCAUCUAAACUUGAUUAGUCGACACGAUUUUGAGGUUUUGGUUUAUUUAUUUUUCAUUUCAACAUUAUGUUUCAAGACGUUCACACUAUUAAAAAAUUUUCUAUUGAUUAUUAACGUUCUCUAUUUAUCUUUUCUUUCAGCAAAAUCACAUUUAAAACUGUUGAAUCUGAGACUGUGACAUCUAAUGAGACAAUACAACAUAACAUAAGGGAAUUAGAAGAUACAGAAGAAUAUGAUAUCCCCCAGGAAUUUACCAGUAGGGUUGAAGACUUUGAAGACAAACCUAAGGCAAACCACACAGAGUCAAAAAUAGUGAACAUAGGGUUUUUUGAGGACGUAAAAAAACCCACGUCGGCAUUCAUUUGUCUAAAGAAGAGAAAGAGGAAUAUAUCCAGUUCCUAAAAAAGCAUUCAGAUGUCUUUGCUUGGUCCUAUGAUGAUAUGACAGGACUAAGCACUUUAAUAGUGGCUCACAGACUACCUACUGACCCAUCCUAUCCGCCUGUCAAAUAGAAACUCAGAAAGUACAAGCCUGAUUUGAGUUUGAAAAUCAAAGAGGAGAUAUCAAAGUAAAUUGAAGCUGGUAUUCGACAAUAUCAAAGAUUAUCUGACAAACCCUCCUAUUUUGGUUCCUCUCAAACUUGGUAGGCUACUAUUAUUGUACUUAUCUGUGACAGACAAUGCCUUCGGAUGCAUUUUGGGACAGCAUGAUGAGACAGGCAAGAAAGAACAGGGAAUCUAUUACAUGAGUAUAAAGUUCACUUCUUACGAAGCUCAGUAUUUUCUACUGGAAUGUACCUACUGUGCUUUGACUUAGGUAGUUCAAAAGUUAAAGCAUUAUCUCUCAGCACAUACUACUUAUCUGAUCUCCAGAAUAGAUCUACUGAAAUACAUCUUCCAGAAGCUGAUGCCUACCAAAAAGUUGGCCAAAUGGCAGAUACUGUUGAGUGAAUUUGACAGUCUAUGUCACACAAAAGGUGGUAAAAUCACAAGCGCUAGCAGAUCAUCUGACUGAGAAUCCUGUAGAUGACGAAUACCAACCGCUGAAGACUUACUUCCCUGAUGAGGAAGUGACAUUCGUAGAAGAGGAUAUCUCUGAAGAAUAUAACAGUUGGAAACUAUUCGUUGACGGAGCUGUAAAUUUCAAAGGAUUCAGAAUUGGUGUUGUUGUGAUCUCAAAAACCAGCCAACACUAUCCUGUGUCGGCCAAGAUCAGGUUUCCUUACACUAAUAAUAUGGACAAAUAUGAAGCUUAUACCCUGGGGCUUUUCUUGGACAUCGACUUGAAUAUCCAAGAGAUACUGGUGAUUGGAGAUUCAGACUUAUUGAUUCAUCAAGCACGAGGUAAGUGGGCUAUCAAGAACAUAAAGCUCCUACCCUAUCUGGAGUGCGUACAAGAAAUGUGCAAGAAGUUCCACAAAAUAGAGUUCAAACACAUCCCGAGGAUUCAGAAUGAGUUUACAGAUGCAUUAGCUACUCUGUCAUCCAUGAUCCAACAUCCAGACAAAAUUGCAUUGAUCCUAUUCCCAUUCACGUGCAUGAGCAGCCUGCACAUUGCUUUCAUAUUGAAGAGAAACCAAGCGGAAAACCAUGGUAUGCAGAUAUACAGAGGUAUUUGAAAGGUGGAGACUAUCUUGAGAAUACGACAAGCGUUCAAAAAUGAACCAUUCGGAGGCUAGCCAACUAAUUUUUCCUAAAUGAGGAAAUCCUGUACAGGAGGACCCCUGAUUUGGGUUUGCUAAAAUAUGUCGAGGUCAAAAAGGCAUCCAAGUUGAUUGAAGAGGUACAUGCUGGAACAUGCGAUCCACAUAUGAACGGCUUCAUAUUGACGAAAAGGAUAUUAAGAUUGGGCUAAUUCUGGAUCACCAUGGAAAAUGAUCACAUCCACUACGUGGAAAAAUACCACCAGUGUCAAACUCAUGCUGAUAUGAUCCGAGUUCCUCCCAACGAGCUUCACGUCACCAGCUCUCCUUGGCCCUUCGCAGCUUAGGUCAUGGACAUUAUUAGUCCGUCCCAUUGAGCCAGUCGCGUCCAAUGGUCACAGGUUGAUCCUUGUCGCAAUUGACUACUUUACUAAGUAGGUAGAAGCCACCUCUCACAAAUCAGUCAUAAAGAAGGUCAUUGACGACUUCAUUCAAAAUAACAUCAUUUGCCGAUUCGGAAUUCCCGAAUCUAUUAUUACUAAUAAUGGUUCCAACCUCAACAGUGACCUAAUUAAAGCAACAUGUGAGAAAUUCAAGAUCAAGCACCGAAAUUCCACAGUCUACAGACCACAAAUGAAUAGAGCGGUCGAGGCCAAAAAUAAGAAUAUCAAGAAGAUCCUGCGCAAGAUGAUUGACAACAGUCGACAGUGGCAUGAAAAGCUACCUUUCGCAUUAUUGGGGUACCGUACUACAAUCAGAACAUCCACAGGCACUACGCCCUACUUUCUAGUCUAUGGAAAUGAAGCAGUGAUACCGGAUAAGGUCAAAAUACCAUCUUUGAGAAUCAUCCAAGAAGCAGAAUUGAGUGACGCUGAAUGGAUACAAAACAGAUUCGAACAACUGGCACUCAUUGACGGAAGAUGAAUAAAUGCAGUUUGCCAUGGUCAACUCUAUCAGAACAGAAUGGCCAAAGAUUUCAACAAAAAGAUUAGGCUGAGACACUUCAUACCUGGACAGCUAGUUCUGAAGCAAAUUUUUUCACACCAAGAUGAAGCAAAGGGAAAAUUCUUGCCUAAUUUGAUAUGCCCUUACGUGGUUCAUCGAGUCCUGAUAGGAGGAGCACUCAUACUGGCAGAAAUGGAUAGCGUAGUUUGGUCUAAGCCCAUCAAUUCAGACGUUGUUAAGAUAUAUUAUGUUUAAUUUUAUCUUUACGUCCCUCGAAUUAUAAUUGGAACUAUGUUCGACCAGAUUCCCAUUUAAGAAGGAUAUGUAGGCGCUCAUGUGGAGUUCGGUCACUUCAUAAUAAAACUUUUUCUUCCCCUCUCUUGGAAUACUAUAACUAGGACAGAAUUUUUUAGAGAACCUUAAAAAUUCUAUAUGAGCAUGAUAUCGGCAUAAAUUACGAACUGGGACAGAAUUUUUUAGACGACCUCAAAAAUUUCUAUAAGCAGAUUUUGGAAUACUUACAACGAGUUAGUUCUACACUGGUCAGAAAUUUUUGAGUGAUCCUUAAAAGUUUCUUAACAAAAGAACAAGGAUCUGUAAGAUAUUGUACCAUCUCAGGACAAGUCACAAUCAACAAUUCAACAAAGUUUUCAUGUUUAUUCUAACGGAUUUUACUUAUUACUUUCAAAAGACAAUUUUUCUUUUCAAAAAUGAUUUUUCUUUUAAAAUGUCUAUUUACUAUCUGUCUACCCGAGUGAAGGCCCGGACAAAACUCAUCAAGAAGACGACGACAUCAAGAGGAUACUUCAGCUAAGGCGGAAGCACAAAUCAACCUUCCCUUUUUACAAACUCAUGAUUUUUCUUUGAGUACAGGACUAAUAGGUGCAGUUAACAAGAAUCACUCCAUAACAAAGAGCCCAACGGCCAACAUCAUGACGAGAGGAUCAACAGUUGAUCGAACAAUACAACAGAUACGUUUUCUUUCUCACUUAACUUUAUAUACAUUCGUGCUAACCAUUUUUAAUAAGUACAGGUUACUCCAUGCCAAGAAGCCAAACAACUGAUCCGAUAUCAAGAGUUUCAAUAGCCGAUCCAAUAUUAUAUCGAGAAGCCAAACAGCUGAUCCAACAUCGAGAGGUUCAACAGCCGAUCCGAUAUUAUAUCGAGAAGCCAAACAACUGAUCCAAUAUUGAGAGGUUCAACAACCAAUCCAACAUUAUAUCGAGAAGCCAAAUAUCUGAUCCAACAUCAAGAGGUUCAACAAUCGAUCUAACGUCGAAUCGGGAAGCCAAACAACUAUUCUAAUAUCGAAAGGUUCAACAGCUAAUCCAACGUCAUAUCGAGAAGCCAAAUAGCUGAUUCAACAUCAAGAGUUUCAAUAGCCGAUCCAACGUCAUAUUGAGAGGCCAAACAGUUGAUCCAACGCUAAGAUCCAAUGUCAUCUAACAGUACAAAAGAUACGCUUUCCUUACUUCUUACAUUUAUUUCAUGUUUUUAAAUGCUUAUAAUUUACAUGACUUAACCCUGGUUAUCAAGUAUACUAUAAAGUAUGCAAGCGACGGAAAGGGAGUAACAAGAAGAGAUAAUUUUUGGUUUUGUUUUCAGAAUAUUACCCUAUCUAUUCAUUCAUAACCUAAACUCAUUCUAAAACUCACAUUUCAUUCAUAACCUAAACUCAUUCUAAAACUCACAUACCUUAACAUUUUCACUACUCCAUACAUCAUCACUCAAAAUCCUACUCAUAACCGUCUCAUUGACCCAUGAUACCAUUAUUAAUGCCCCUAUCCUUUAUCGUUAACAUUCUUUAGGAAUAUUGUUCAUUCCUAAAUCUAGAACUACAAAUGGCCUGAUUCUCAUAAAAUAGAGAUAUAUAAGCGACUUAAAACCGAAGUCAAGGACACACUAUUUUUUAACCACCGCCUAUCGCUUAACUCCAAUGAAUCAUCCUCGGUCAGACAAAAUUGGCUACUAUGUUAAUUUUCACUGCUUGAUAAUUCUUUUAUCAUUCCCAAGCAACGAAGGGGCAGUUGUUGACACCCAAUUUUGACCUCCUGACACUCCUUUUUGGGCUGCUAUUUUAUUUAAUUAUUAAUAUUUUUGUGCACAUUAUUCUUAUAUUUAAUACAUUUUGACAUGUCACAUUCAUAAUUUAGGAAAGUGCAUAAAUUAUUUUAUUAACUUUUAGUACCAUUUUUAUAAUUUUUUAACUCAAAUAAGACAUUUUUAAACUGAGCAUAUCCACAUUUUUUGUAAAUACAUUAUCUAGUCUUCCAUUAUUUAGCAUUAUUUAUUUUAUUUAGUAUUUUAUUAAUUAUUAUAAUUAUUUAUUAUUAUUAUUUAUCAUUUAUUAUUAUUACUAUAUAUUAUUUAUUAUUAUUAUUCCUAUUAUAUAUUUAAAUAAUACCCUAAUUAAAGUCACUUUGCCUAAUUUAUUUACCUUUUAAUCCAUUUUUGGCCAAUUUCGUGCCAUCUUAGCCCAUUUUAUCUAACCUCUUGCAAUUUUAGCCUAUCAUAUUACAAUCUGAGCCUAAUUCCUUACGAUCCUAGCCACAUUCUCGCUCCACAUAAUCUUAAAUCCCAGCCGUCGAUCAAAAUUGAUCUAACGGCUGAGAUUUGAUUUGACUCCUUCCCUUUUUUAAAACCAACAAAACCUAAACCUAAAUACUAAUUCCGAAAAGAGCCACCCCCUCUCUCUCUACCUCUCGUCUCUCUCUAUCUUUUCCCUGAAAACCCUCCACCACGAGCGUCACACCACCAAUGAAAACAACAAGGACCGCCAGCCUCCCUACGUUCACCGCUUCUUUCUCUUCCCCAUUCUCUUCGGUGACCAACAGUCGCUCCAACCAGCUCCAGCCAGCGAAGACCUACCGAGAUGUCUCCUCCAACCAUGGUUGUCGUAUCCUCUCCUUGAUCUCCCUGCCAUCCACGAUCGUCUCUCUAAUGAAGCUCCAAAUACCACUGCUCCGACCAGCGCCACGAACCAACCAUUUGCCACAAGCUUCCUUUGUUUUCAAUGCCGCUGCCACACCAAUCAUGCAGCCGAAAAAAUCGUACAACCAGCACCAUCAACAAACGGCAGGAAACAAAAACAUUGUGACAAAACUCAUCUCAGGUUUAUUAUUCCUUUUAAUUUUUCUUCCUCUACCCUUUUCUUUCUUUGACUGAUUUUGUUAGGUUUAAAAUUGAUUAAGAUUGAUUAUAAAUUUUAAGUAAAAUCAUCAGAACUAGUGUAUGUUUAUGUGUUUAGAACGAUGAUAUGCAAAAAUCCCCAAAUUUUACUGAUUUGAACUGACCCUAUAUUUCUUUAAGAUUGUGACUAAUUUGCUAUACUGUUUGCUGGACUGAUAUGCUAAGUAUGAUAUUCCCCAAAGUUUCCCAUAUUGUGAGUCAUUAUUCAUGACUGUCCCACGAGCUAACCCUCUUAUUUAAGCCUUAAUGAUUUUUGAGUUUGAUCCCUUUGAUUACUGCCUACUUUAGCAUUAGAGUGGGAUUUCAGCAAAAUUAUUGGUAUUUGAUUGAUAUGUUGGGUAACAUAUUUUGGAUAAACUCGGACCCCUCUUUUGACACGAUUUGAGUAGGGAGUAUUUUAAAUUAUCAUUGAAUUUAUAUUUAUAGUAAAUACCAAUAUUGACAUGUUUUCUACUGUUAUUACUUAUUCUCGCUUAAAUUAGUGCUUUUCUUGUACUCACCUAUUCAUGGUAAAUUUGAUUUUAGUUGAUUUCUACCUACCUAAGGAAAGUAUUUUUGUUGAUUGAUUUCUCUAAAAGCAUGCUACUUUUAUUGUGGACUGAUUUGUGAAUAAUUAGUUGAUUUAUUGGCCCCUUAAUGGACUCUGAUGAUUUUAAAAAAAUAUUCCUUUUUCUUUGACCCGUUUUCGACCCCCCAAUUAACUUGAUGUAAUUCUCUCUUGUUCUCCUUGAUUAAAUGGGAUUGAUUUCUUAAUAUUGCUUUUUCUUUUUCGAAUUGGCUAAUUGGACCUUAACUCACAAUACCCUCUCACUAUAGAAACACCUAUUCUUUUCAAUUAAGAGACAGUUCACAAGUUCUACAAUACUACAAUUCUAUUAAUCUCUUAAAAUAAAAAAUCACUGGCUAUUUCUAUACAAAAGCAAUUAGAUACUUUGAGGUUCCUUCGACUUUUCUUCGAGGCUUACGGAAAAAUCUUGCAUAUUUUGUUGUGCUUGGCUUUCUUUUAUUCUUAUUAUCACCUGUUAUUGCUGCUCACCAGUGAGUUUCAAAUUGAUGUAGUAUUUUUCAUUAUGUGAGUUGAUUAUAUCAUGCCAUGGAUAACAUAGAAAGCAUGUCUAUAGGGAUAAUAAGAAAUGAUAAUGCUGUGCUUGCUUAUUAUACCUUUGCUCCGAUGCCUGUGCUUUCUUUGUGCUUUUGUUUGGACAACAUGUUGGUAUAUCUCUUUGUGCUUGCCAUGCUACUUUGUUGUGUUCAACAGAUUUGGGACUUGAAGAGUCAUCGGGAUGUUUAAAUGGGCAAUGUCAUUCUUUAGAAUUAGUAGUUAUUAUUUUAUGUCUUUUCUUUUUAUUUACCUAUUUAUUUGGGUUUGUAAUAUUUCUGUAUAAACACUAUUAUUAUUGUAUAAUAAUUUUGGGUGACUGCCUUGGGGGGGCGGGGAUUUACGUGCUCUAUGAACGGUAUAGGUAGGCACAACUUAGGGUUAUGUGCAAUACGUGUUACAUGAAUCAUUUAGGCACAAAAUUAGGAUUUAUUAACAUAUGAAUCAUUUUUUACUAUUUAUUAAUUAUUCUCGAUCUAACUAAAAUCGACACACCAUAUUAAUUGAUAUUGAGCAUAUUAAUUUAACAUUAGGAAUGUUAACGUAUUUUAGCAUGUUAAGCAUAUUGACUUGAAUCUAAGUAUGUUAGUAUGAAUUCUGAGCACUUUAAUCCGUAGAUCAUGCUAACUUGAAAUUUUCAUGCAUUAACACACGUUUCAGCAUGUUUUAAAUAAUAAUUUUCUACACUUUUAGCCCGUCAAGUAAGGGUCAAGUAAGUCAUUGCAUUUUUAGUAUGUCAAUACACUUCAACAUGUUAACAUGAUAGUUUUGACAUAUUUUCAGCAUGUAUUAACAUUAAACAUGUAUUUUUAAACGCAUUCAGCAUAUUAACAUUGAAUUUCAGCAUAUACAUUAAUGUCCAUCAUGUUAAAAUACUAAUUUUCUAAUUUUCAGCAUGCUUAAUAAUAUUUUUAGCAUGUUUAGUAAUAUUUCAACUGUUAAAACUAAUUUUCAGCAUGUUUAAUAUAAUUUUUAGCAUGUUUAACACAAUUUUCAGCAUGUUAGCAUAAUUUCCUGCAUUAUCUUCAGCAUGUUAGCAUAAUCUCCUACACUAUUUCACCAUUUUGACAUAAUUUUCUACACUACUUUUAGCACUUUAAAUGUAGAUUUGAGGCAUUCUCAACAUGUUAAACACUAGUUUAAGUACAUCAUUGCAUCAUGAAAUAGUUCAUAACACUCAAUUCAUGAAUCUCUUACAUAUUUACCGCACUUUGACAUUCUCUUUUAAUCACUCACGAUACAUUGUUGCAUACACAUGAAUCACAAUUGUCUUUUCUCACACUAAUGAUUGUUGGACACUUAGUAUCAUGACUAUAGGUUAACGACAUAAUAAUAAUUACUUGUCUUUGCAUGUUGUCACAUUAAUUAACAUUAAUUAACCAAGAGGCUAACUUGGGAUUAUUAUGUGCCACUUGUUGUCCAAUUUGUUACGCGCUUCGAGUCCUAGGCAACAUAACUUUCUUUUCGUCUAGAACACAAAUCCAAAAUAGUAAAGUCCAAUGCCUCUUGGACGAUAAGUGGGAUGAUAAGUAUUGCUAAAAGACGUUAGUUUUAUCCUUUUCAUAGAACGCACUUAGACUUGACAUCCGGCCUAGGUGGGGUAGGACGGGUAGUCAUUUGGAAGUGAUGAUCCCAACGGAUAUUAAUGGCGAGGCUAAUGACAUUAUUACUUAUCUAAGAGUUCGGCCCUUAGGGCGGAUGAUGAUUAAACAAAUUGGGGUUCUGAUCCAAAUAAGACCAAAAUAUUUCUUUGUUUGACUUGGACGAUUUUUUUAGUCUUUUUAUUUAUUUUACAUGUUUAUUUUGGGGUAGUUAGUUAUUACAUAAGCAGUCCCCACUAUUAUAAUUGUUUUCCUUCUUUCUUCUCGCUUGUCUUGUUUAUAUAUUCUAUCACUUAGAUGAUUAAUAACUAAAAUAAAUAUUUGUUAAUUGCUUUAUCACCUAGAUAAAUGUUAUAUUACUAAUAAAAUAAGAUACUUUAUUUGAUCAUGUAGAAUCCCCACGUAAAUUAUGAAUUCGGCCGGGAACCACCUUUGUGGAUCUCAAAAGGUGCCUAACACCUCCCUUUUGAGGUACUUUGAACUCUUUCGUAGUAGCCUAGAACAGUGCCCUAACGCACCUUAAUAUGUUAUGUGGUGACUCUUCACACUCUACCUUUCAAAUAAUCCUAAAAAAGAGUGGUCACGUCGAAUCCCACUUUCUGCGAGGAAAAUGGGGCUCCACAGUAUGAUAAGACAUGACCUAGGAUCUUGUAGUCAAAUAUUUGUCAGUAUGGGGUCCUAGGUGAGGCCUAGGGUACGAGAUAAGGGUACCACUCAUACCCUAGGAUACGGUUUAGGUGUGUAAGUCGUACCCUCCUGCGAGUAAGUUUUCAGCAUUUAAGCUGAGGGCAUUCCAGACAUUUCCCACCCCAAAACCCUUGAGACCCAUAACUUAUAAUAUUAUUUGGCCUUUUAUUCUUGAAUUAACAAGAUAAAAAACACUCCAAAAUCCUCUCUAAACUUCUUCAACAAGAUUGGAGGCUAGGGUUUCAAGAAGUGCUCAUCUAGAGGGUAAAGGGGUCAAGUUCUUUCCGUGAAACAUCUUAUAUAAGGUAUCUGACUCUCCAUUCAUAGUUAUUUCUUAAAUAUCAUGUGUUUUAAACAUUAAUUUUGAUUCUUGAAUGGUGGUUUUUGAAACAAAUGUUAAGGGAUUUUAUGUAUAGUGAUGAGUAUUGUUUACUCUUGUUUAAAUUUGUAUUUUUACAUGUUUUGGUGAUGGUUUGCAUAUGUAGGUGCUUGUUGAUUUUGGUCUAACAAAUAAGUCAUGAGUAACCCAAAUCUUGAUGGUUUGUCAUGGUAAAGGUAUGCUCUCAUGGUGUUUGUGAAAAUGUCUAAGAGAAAUAACUAGUCACAUGUUAAUAGUAUUUUGAACUAAGAUAAUGACUUAAUGAGUAAGAAUGAUUGGUAAAUAACUUUGUAAAUUCCUUAUUGGACAUGCAAUGAGUUGAUUUGUAACUUUGGUGGUUUGAUUGGUUAAAAGAGUUUGAGUUCCUAAACAUGAAAUUGAAUUAUGUUUGAACUAAAGCUUGGUGUAAGAAUGCUAAUUCAGAAUAAAUGGUUUGGUAAAGGUCUUAAUGACCACAAUUUAACUUGAAUGGUGAUUGAAACUAAGUCAUUGGCCUAGUAGAUGUGAUUGAUUUAUAAAUGGUUCAUAAGGACCUGGUGGUUAUGUAUACUAUUGAAUUGUAGCCUAAUUGGCUAAGUGGGUUAGAGUUCUUGAAUGUUGAACUGAGUGGAUGUGAAUGGAUGGGCAAAGGAUUAGAGUCUCAAUGUCGACUAGUAAUGGACGCGAUAGCUUGUGGUUAGAGUCCACUUGCUUAAAAAGAUGGCUUGUGGUUAGAGUCUACUUGUCGAUUAAAAUGACUUGUGGUUAGAGUUUGCUUGCUUAAUAAAAUGGCUUAUGGUUAGAGUCAUCUUGAUUAAUAAGACGGUUUGAGGUUAGAUUUCCCUUGCUUAAUAUAACCGGGAAGUUCAAACUUCCUAACCUAUGCGAGUGAGUGGUUAGAGUCCUCCACUUCAUGUAUCAUGAUUGAGUGUUUCAAAAUGUUUGCUAAGGCCUUGUUCCCUUUCCCAACACUCGAUAUAUCUAUAUAUAUCUACAUAUAUGUCUAUGUAUAUAAAUAUGGUUGCAUGUGAUGGUUUGACUUGGUUUUGAAUGAUGACAUUAUUUAUCCUUAUACUUAAGUUAUAUGCUAGCACUCCAACCGCUAACAAUCUCUGGAUGUUGUAUCCCCAUGCGAUACAGAGGCCAGAGCUUCUUCUUCUCUUCCUACGCAGUGACCAGGUGUUCGAGGGGUUCGUGUGUUGAUUUUGAAGUGGUGAGCUUUCAUACUUCGAAAGGCAUACAUUUCAUGGCCUUUCUAUCUUAUGUCAUAGACUUAUUUUAGACUUGGUUUUUGGCUAUUGUCGGGAGCAUGUACCGACAUAUUAUAGACAUCAAAUUUGUAAAGGAUUUGCGGAUGACUGUGGACUUGGGUAUGUUGGCUUAGUAUGUGACAUUAAUGGAUUGAUUAGACACUUCUUAAGUUAGGAUUAUUAGUUUUGUUUCCAAUAUCUUGUUAUAUAUUCAGAGUUUAUCUGAUAUUUGUGGAAUGAUGUGGUGGUUGGGUUUGGUUAAUGGAGCGAUCUUCGAUCCUUUUGGACUCUAGAUGCCCAUUUCGACAUGGCCUUGAUUCGGAUCGUUUCACUUUGUACGAUGUGGUGGUGCAACAGACACAUACACAACACAUUCAAAAAAUUUCAAAUAAGAUAUAUUAGGCUCUUGACCCAAAACCAACUAUAAUGGAGAAAAUUUAUGAUAAUUUAUAAGUUCGAGAAAAACAAGUGUUGCAAAAUAGCAUAACCCCAAACAGAGAUGGGCAAUGUAGUUUUCAUAAGCAAUGGUCUUGCUAUCAAUUGCAAAAUUUUAAUUAAUGACUCAGCAAAACCAUUUUGAGUGUGAACAUUAGCUACAAGAUGUUCAACUUUCAUCCCAAUUGAUAACCAAUUAUCAUUAAAUGCUUGGGAUGAAAACUCUGCAACAUUAUCAAGGCGAAUAGACUUGAUCUAAUUAUUAGAAAACUGUGUCCAUAAUAGUAUUAUUUGUGCCAAUAAUUUUACAAAUGUCAAGUUGCGAGUGACAAUAGGCACACAUGGGAUCAUCUAGAAGAAGCAUCAAUCAAAAACAUGAAAUAUCAAAAUGACCCACUAGGUGGAUGAAUAGGCCCACAAAUAUCCCCUUGUAUAUGUUCUAAGAACACAGGAAAUUCAAUCCCAAUUUUAAUUGGUGAUGGCCUCAUAAUUAUCUUGCCUUGAUAACAGGCAGUACAAGAAAAUUCAUUAUUUGAAAGAACCUUUAUGUUCUUUAAUGGAUGUCUAUUUGAAUUUUCUAUAAUUCAUCUCAUCAUUAUAGUUCUCGGAUAUCCCAAUCAAUCAUGCCAAAGUUUAAAGAUAUUGGAAUUAGUAAACUUUAGGUUUACUAUAGAAUGUGUCUCAAUCGCACUAAUCUUUGUCCAAUACAAGCCAAAAGAUAGAGCAGAGAACUUUUCUAUAACGCAUGUCUGUUCAGAGACAUUCUUGGUAAUACCAAGAUAUUCAUAGUUCAACUCAUCCACUGUCUUGAUAUGAUAAUCAUUUUCACGGAUAUCUUUAAAACUCAAUAAGUUUCUCCGAGACUUAGAAGCAAACAUAACAUUAUUUAUGAUGAGUUUAGCUCCCUUAGGCAAAAUUAUAAUGACUUUUUCGAAGCCUUCAAUCAAAUUAGUACUACCAGAAAAUGUAGUAACAUUUAUUUUGCCCAUACUUAAAUGAGAAAAAUAUUUGUCAUUUUUAAAUAUUGUGUGUGUUGCAUCAGAAUUAAUUAAGCAAAUGUCUUCAUAAUUGCAUAACUUGCUUUGAAAGUUAUUCAUUUCUUCAAAUAAAAUGACAUACACAAAAUAAAUAUAUAUUAAAUAUUAAUGAUGGAUAAACUACAAAGUCAACACUAAGUAGUAUAAUAAAUUUGAGCAAUUAAAUGAAUGAUGUCCACUUUCAUGGUAACUAUUAAUAGAAAGUCACAAGUACUAACAUUUCUUUUUCACGUACUUGUUCAGAAAACAAUAUCAAUAAUAAUAGUUGGUCCAUGUUAAAGAAAAAUUUAUUGGUAAUUUGAUUAAAUGUUUCUCUAUAAAUAUAAUUCGGUGAACUAUAUUUUAUGAUAUCCAAAAAGAUGCAAGAAUUAAGACUAUAAUUUAAUGAGCAAUUUUUUUUUUCUUUUCGUAAGCAAACAAUACAUUGCAAUAUUAAAAUAUGAUAGGAUCAAACCAAAAAUAAAUUACUAAGAAACUUACAAUAAUAUGACUAAACAAGAAUACUAAUAAAAUAAAAUAACUACUCAUAAUUAACAUUUAUUCAUUGCACUACUAUUACUAACAAACAUUAAAAGUUGUUCACUCUUCCAUAGACACAGAACCAUCACCAAUCAAGUGAUCUAUCGUUCCCUCAAGAUGCUCGAAGAAAUCUGCUACAUCUAAAUGAGCAACGUCAACAUGAUUUUCAGAGAUAAAAUUAGCUUCAAAAUUUUUCUUUUUUUCUUUACUUAUGUUUGAUAAAGCUCAACCAAGUGUUUGGGAGUACGACAGUCACGUAUAAAGUGUCCUUUUGCACCACAUCAAAAAACAACCACAUACCUGCUUCACGUUUCUCAUUCUUUCCUUGUCCCUUUUGACAGGGCCAUUUCUUUGAUGAAUGACUAACACCAGGAACAUGAUUUCUUUCUUGACCAUACUCAUAACCACAAUCACAUCCAUGACCAGAUCCGCGACCCAUUUCACGCUUAGCAUGGUGCGCGUACACCUCAUUCACUUCAAAAAGUGAAGUUGAUCUAGUAGGUCGGAGCUCAUGAUUUUUCUUUAAUAAAUUAUUAUUUAGUUUAUCCACAAGAAGAUAAGAAUUUAGUUCAGCCACAAGAAGAUGAGAACUUAGUUCAGAAUAUUUUUUAAAACUUUUUUUCGAUAUUACUGCUACAAGAGCACAUUCAAGGCAUCAAAGGUGGAGAGUGUCUUUUCCAUCAUAUAACAUCAUUAAUAGUCUCUCCACAUAAUUUUAAUUGAGAAAUUUUUUUGAAUAUGGUAGUGUUGUAUUUAUAAAUAGACUUAUAGUUUUGAAAUCUCAAAUGUAUUCAAUCAUAUCGUGUUUUUGGAUGUAUGACCAUCUUUAGGUGGUUAUACCUUUCUAUUGGGUUAUUCCACAAAACAAGUGGAUCCUUAACAGUAAGAUAUUCAAUUUUUAAAAUUUCGUCAAUAUGAUAACGCAAGAAUAUCAUAGUCUUAGCAUGAUUUUGAUUUGAUGCUUUAUUUCAUUUUUAAUGGUGUCUCCAAGACUCAUAGCCUCCAAAUAGAUUUCAGCAUCCAAUACCCAUGAAAGGUAAUUCUUGCCCAAACUUUGAAGGCAACGAACUUAAAUUUCGUAAGAUUAGACAUAUUAAAAAGGAAGAGAAAUAAUACCUUGAUCUUUCAAUUUUGAGAUAGUAGAGUCUCGUAUUAAUAACGUGUUAUAAAAUAUUUAAUGGAGUAAAGAAAUUAAGAAACAAAUAGUACAGACUUAUGUUAAUUUUUAUGUGUACAUAAAAAGGAGGCAAUGUAUGCCUUUAUAGGCAACCUUAUCAAUUAUUGUAACCAAUACACUUGUGCAUGGAACAUAUACUUUGACAAACAAGACACCGUUAAAAAUUAGAGACAUCCACACAUGAUAUUUCUUAACAAAAUUUAUUUUCUUGACUUUAAAUUAAUAGCAGUAUCUUCAACUCCUUCCAAAACCAUAUUUACGACUUUCACACCUUGGGCCCUAGCCUUGAAUUCAUGCUUUGAUCACUGCAUUCUCACUGUAUAUGUAUGUUUCUUGCCCUACAUACUAAUGCAAACACGCCAAACUUCACAAAUACCGACGGGACAUAUGUUAGUCGGCAUUUGAACACUACGAUAUUUAACACUGCUUCAUCUUUAUUCGUCACAUUUCAAUUUAACACAUUCAUUAAUAAAAUAAUUAUUGACAUAAUUAAUUUAUUAUAUUAUCUUUAUUAAUUAAUAUUUAACAUUAUAUCUUAAAAGUAAUUUAAAGAAUAAACCGUUAAUGUCAAGGAUAAUACAAUUUUUUUUGUCUUUUAUUAAUAUAUUAAAAGUGAUAAGUAAAAAAUAGAACUUCAUUUUAAAAAUAAGUGACAAGUGAAAGUGAACAAAUCAUGUAUUAAUGACUUUUUGUAUUACUAAUACCAUAAUUUCAUAUAUUAAGGACAAUUCUAUUUUAAAUAUGCUUAAUUAUGUACUCCUUCGUUUCGUAUUAGUUGACCUUCUUACUAAAAAUGUUUGUUUCAGUUUAGUUGUUCAACUACUAAAAUCAAGAGUAUUUUAUAUAUAUGUUUUCAAUUUUAUCCUUAAUGGGAAUAAUAAAUACAUUCACAGUUUUAAAAAUUAUUGAAUGAUGUAUAAAUGAUUUCAAUUCUCAAAAUCAAAAUUAAAUAAUUAUUAAUAGUUUCAAUUAUAAAUACUCAAUGUUCUAAACAUAAUGAAUGAAAUGAAAUAAUAUGUAUAAAAUUUUAAUGUUUAAUUAUUACAUUGAUUAUUGAACUUUAAAAGACAUACAAGGGUAAAUAUGUAAAUGCAUCUCUAUUUAUUGAUUUAUAUUAAUGAGUAUAUCAAGUCCAUAGACGCCAACAAAUACGAAACGAGGAAAAUAUUAAUAACUUUGUAUUACUAAAAUCAUAAUUUCUUAUGUAUUAAUUAUACAUUCUGUAACUAUACCAAAGUCACCCCUACAUGAUUGAAGUUAAGAAAUAUACAUUAAUUAUACAUUCUAUAAUAUUGAAUAAGGUUUAUACCUCAUCCUACCGAAGCGACCCCUACCCCUACAUGAUUGAAGUUGAGAAAACUUAUCUUUUAAGUUCAAUAGCAUUGUUACUUUUAAAGAUAUGGAAUAUUAUGGCCAAAAUAAGGUCCUCAUUGGGGGGGGGGGACCCAACCCAGCUCGCUAACCCAAUCAAUAAGGUCUAUAAAGACAGGAAAGAGUACCCAUUCCUCUAACAAGCAAAAUAUCAUUGAGAAAUGGCCGCAGCAAAACUGUUCUUCCUUGCAGCAGCUUUAAUUUCCCUCUCCUACCUCACCGGCACAGCAGCCGCCCCCGUAGCCUCCACCAGUUUCAUAAAGAGCUCCUGCAAAUCCACCACUUUCCCCGAAGUAUGCAUCGCUUCCCUUUCCGGUUACGCAUCGGCAAUAAAGAACAGCCAAGAACAGCUAGUGAAAACUGCCUUGUCCGUAAGCCUAAACAAAGCCGAAACUACAAAGGAAUUUGUUAGCAAGCUGUUGAAAUUCAAGGGAUUAAAGCCUAGAGAGUAUGCAGCUAUAAAGGAUUGCGUAGAGGAGACAAGUGACAGUGUAGAUCGGCUUACCAAAUCUGUGAAUGAACUCAAAAGAAUGGACCGUAGCCAUGGGAAGGAUUUCCAGUGGCACAUGAGCAAUGUGGAGACAUGGGUAAGUGCUGCAAUUACUGACGAGAAUACUUGUACUGAUGGAUUUGCUGGUAAGGCUUUGAGUGGGAG